rnacentral:lncRNA from 1 species
CUCGGGCCUUCCUAUAAAUUUUUUCUCAAACUCAAUAGCAGGUGUGCUCUCAUUCUUCUCUACCAACUCAAGCCACCAUGGAGACGAAUUAUUCAUAAGCCUUGCUUUGCAGCUUCUACUCCUCCUCAACAUCACAACAGAGGGGCAAAACAUUUCUUUCUCGGGCAGCCAUUGAGGUGUCCUUUCAGAAGAAGGAACUACAAAACCUUUUUGUUUAGGUAGGGGUGACUCCAAUUCCUGAUUUGUGCCAUCUCCAUUUUCAACUGUGGUCAGUCCUGAGGUAGCUGUGUUUGCGAAAGGAGACGACAUAUUUGAGUUUUGGUAUCUACUAGCACUUGAAUCUGAUAUAUUUGACACUAUAUAUCUGUUUGUGCCAGACUCUUCCAUUUCAAUGCAGCGAACUUCCUUGCAGAAAUCCUCUGAAUUUCCAUCAAACUGUUCUUUGCUUUCCUUUGAUGCAGAUUACCGUCAACAAAAUUAGGAAUGCCAUCGGAUAACUGCCGGAGAGAAUCAGUGUGCCAUGAAAUUCUCUUCCAAGUCAGGAAGUUGGAACAGAGUCUCCUCUGAACUAGUCCUACUGUCUCCAUCAGAAUACUGAGAGGUGCCAAAAGAUCUCACACUGUUGGCUCGGCCACGAGAGACGGCCCGAACAGGCGCACCUGCCAUUAUUCAUUUCAAAGUCCCAUGAAAACUUGCCCACGCAAUUUGGGGUAAUAACGUUCCAGAUCCUCCUACAAUUAUAUGAAAAGAAAUUCAACUUAGCACAGACGGAGAAAAUUGUAGUGAAAUAAAAUUCUUCAGUUUAUUUUAGUACACAUACUUCUGAUGGGUUUAUCAUCUCCAAGCACUCGCACCAGAUCCUUAACCUGAGAUUGAGCAAGGUCUCGUUGCUGAGUUAGCUCCGAUACCUCUUUUUUGAGCUGCAUAAUGAAUAAAUAAAACCAAAAGUUUUAGACAAGAAGAAGGAGCCUGAAUCAUGAAUAGGAAAAACUGUACUAUGCCUCAUACAUAUGAGAACCACGGAUCAAAGGACAAUCAAAUUGCCAUGGUUUCUAACAAGGUGAGCACAAGUGAAGAUGUUCAGAGAUUUCUGCAUGAGAGGACUCGAGAAUCAUGACCCAUGACUACAAGUAACUAGCAUCGAGAAACAUGCUUCAUCAAAUUGUGCAAAGACCAGAAAGAAAAUAUUUGUAGGUAACUGCAUAUCAAAGAGUAUAAUUCACCUCGGCUUUCCAUAGUUGGAAUAACCUGGCUUUUAAAUUUUUUCGUGAAUCCGUGAUCUUUUAAGAGGUCAGCAUAGAUACUGGCCUUUGUUAUGUGUUUCUUUGCCCAGUUUUAGAUAUGUUCGGGAUAGGUACCAAAUGCAUUUUUGAGGAUCUGACAGAUAAUAAUAGGAGCCUAUUCGUUACCUUUUCAAUUUGAAGGUCCUUUUCUCUCAGUAAUGUUGAAGAAUCAGCUGAAACAAUUUUGUGUCCUGAACCUCUCAACUCAUUCUCUAGUCUAGUCAAUUCUUUUUGCAAAUGCUUCACCAAUGCUUUAUCCGACAUGACCACGUUAACUUGUGCGCUUGUUGUCACUUCUUUAGCACAGCUCGCAAAUAAGAGGGUAUUUCUUGAUUGCUCAACAUGGCUAUGUGCAGGACUCAUGGUACAGAUGAUGGCAGUUCUAGCAUUUCCUCCCAACGAGGACUGCAGUAUGCGGGUUAGCUUUGAAUCUCUGUAAGGAACAUGCCCACUUCUUCCCUUGCUGCGUGAAACCACAGUAUUGAACAAUUUCGUAAAAAUUCUUAUUAUGCGAACUUCAUUUUACAUGAACUAAUACAAAGAAUCAAUGGGAAUAAUAAGACUCGACAUUUCAAUUGCACAAAGUAGAAUAAAUUUUUGCAAAGACCAUAACUGAGAAAAUGAAAGACAAGCUACUCAAGCUGACCUGAGCUUACGGAUAACAGUGCCUAGAGUUAGUAAACUGCGAUUUAUGUGGCAACCCUCUUUCAACCUUGCUCCAGCUGAUAACGUCUGGGACGCACGUUCACUUCCAGCAAGAUCAACAAAGUUCUGUACAGUAAAGAAUUAUAUCAUUCUGUUGUUAUCCUUUAUUCCUUUAGUCGUGAUUAUUUAUUCAUUUUUUUCUUUAAAAACUUUUAGUACUUACCACAACAGCAGUAAGGGAGCUUGAUUUGUCAUAGCCAAGAAACUCACGCGCUGAACUUUCAAUGACCUGAUAAAACCACAGCAUAUUAGACUCUUGAGGUAAUUUAACAUAAUUAUUAAGCAAGCAACUAUUUCUUAGCCAACGAAAAAACAAUGUGAUAUUAGUCGUACCAACACAACAGUUGGCUUUCUUGACCUUCCACUAAAGCCUCCUUGCCAUCCAGUGAGACAAUUCUUCCAAUCCCAAUGCAUGCAGUCUAAUGACCCUAUCAUGCCCGGACACCCACGGUCUUCAGCUUUGCGAAUUAGUCGAUUCAGAUCUUCUUGAUUUGGCUUGCGAAGGUACUCUUCUUUGUAAACCUGAACAAUUGUGUCAUAUAAUUGUUCAAGAGUAUGAAGGCAUGUAAACUCAGACAUACCAUGGGUUUCAUCCAUCGAAUUAGCUAGGGAGCCAUAGGUCAUCAUUCGGGGUGCAACAGUAACCUUCUGAUGAGAUGAAAAACCAGGACAGCCUGCUCUGUCCCGUUUCUGUCGAAAGUAUGGAUUGACCUACUAGACAUCACGAAGUAAACACUCGAAAACAUGACGCCUCAUCCAGAAGCGACGUCUGAAAUCCUUUUUUGUGUACACCGAGUUGGGGUUGAAGUAGUUGUUCAUCAGAUUGGCAUAAGACAUCGCUCUGUUUCGUAGUUUGUAAGAGCGACCAACAAGAGAGCCACCCCAUUGAGGUUGUUCCUCAGUUGGCUGACAUACCAUGGUUGUUGCUCUGUUUUGUUUGUUGCGCCUUACUUGAACUUCUUCAUCAGACUCCUCAUCUUCUCGUCUCAUUUGAGCCCAUUUUGCUUCCAAUUUGGAAUUGGAUGAGGACCCCCAGUUGGAAUACGAAGAGAUCCAAAGUUGGAAUUCAUUGCAAACUUGAAUUGAAAGAGAUUGAAUUGAAAUAGAUUGAAUUCAAAGUUGUGUGAAUUAUAGCCCAAUAUCCACCUUAUUUAUAGCAAAAAAGAAUUCAAAUCCAACGGCUAGCUGACGUCAUGCUGAAUCACUUAGCCAUUGGAUUUGAAUUUAAGUGGUAGUUUUUAAAUAAUAAAUUAUGUUUGGCCCUCAGUUGGAGACGGAGGCAAAUAUGGCAAUGUAUUGUUCAUUAAAAUAUUAAUAUCUUGGACGACCAAAGGACUAAAACGAGCCAUCUUGCCAGCCCUCGGUUAAUGAUGACCUUAGGUUGGAGAUGGUCUAAGGUACUCAGAAAAAUGUCACCUCAUAAGGCACUCGAAAUAGAAUUUUUUUUAAAGACUGUGAUAGUACCCUUUAAGCUAAUGUGAAUGUAUAAUUUUUUGUUUGACUGUGAUAGUACCCUUUAACCUAACAUGAAUAUAUAAAUAUUUUUUUUGAAAAACGAUAUUAUCUACACUAAAAGGUAGGAGAAUGGACUAACCUCACAAUGAAUUAGUAAUAAUGUGGUUCAAAAGCGAACAUGAAUAUAUAAAUUACAAACAAAAAAGAACAUAACCUGGUGUGAAUUUUAGUUCUAGUUAUUUACUGAUUUUUUGUACUUUUAUUUUUGUAUGGUAUAUGUAUAAUGGUUUCUAUGAAUAAUAUUCACAAUUCCAAGAAAUUAUAAGCCUUUGUCUCGAUAGCUAGUUUGCGUUUUGUUAUAGAAAUAAAUCAACUUGAUGUUAUUCCAAUGCCAAAAGAAUGAAAGAAAAAAAAAAACUUGUGUAGAGCUCAACUUUAUUGAUUAUCUUUGAAUUAGACUAGAGUUAUACAUAAGACUAGAAUGCAUGACAAACCUUGCGGAAUUUUGUAGGAUGUGAGUGGUCGGUUGAUCAAUCAUACCGUGCCAAUCGACUAACUACUCACAUCCUGCAGUAUUGAAUCUAGUAUUGGAGAAAACGUACAUAAAGCCAGGUUGUUUCUUUUCUUUUGUUGUACGAAUGAGAUGAGGGAUAGAAAGAGAUGAGAAAUUAAGAAUUAGUAGUAUCUGAGAAAGGUAAAAAAUGUAGCUUAGUGUUCUUUUCUUUCGAGUAUCGGUAAGGAAUUUUACUUUACAAGAAACUAGGGAAGCCUUACGCACCAUUUCUAGCCUGAUCAAAUUUACAAUCAAUUACAAUCAGAACUUUAACUCAUAAAAACAAAAAAAUUACAAUCAGAAAGCAGAUCAAAAAAAGAAAAAAUAUACAAUCAGAAGAGAGAAGUGAUAAUGGGAUACUUGUCACGGAAUCAUAACCUAUACGCGAAUGGAAAUGGACUCGAUGAAACUUCUGUACUGGGUGAUCAAUCUCGCAAGCUUACACAAUAGACUUGAAACUUUCUAACCAAAAGUGAGAUUUCCGCUUGGUGACAGUGUCUCGAGGUGCAAAUCUGAGACCAAACAUCUCCUUGAAUGCUUGCUCGGGCUCUACUGAACCUACCAACUUUGCAACAAUGGUGGCACUGUCCAUGAUAUGGUCCAGGUUUUGGGUGUUACUCCACAGGAGGUUUGCCGAUUGCAACCGCCUAUGCUUUGAGUGUAGACUGAUACCCCACUUUUGGUAGAGGUUAUUUCUUUCAUCCUCAGAAAGUCGCCUUCGCAUUUGCUUGCCAGCAUGUGUCUCUCACUAGUCAAAGCCUUCAUGCUAUAUACAGAAUAAAACAUCUUUUAAGUCGAUCAAUGCAGGCAAUAUAUAACAAAGUAAAAACAUAUCACCAGUAUCUGCAACCUUCUAUUCUAGAUCGGUGAUAAUGAACGUACCUUGAAGCGGGUGUUAAGAGAUUGGCCAUCUUCCAAAGUCUGAUCUCCACGUGAAAAUGUGUAUUUGACGAAGGACAAUCUCCUGACCUCAACCUCCAUGUAAAUAGAAUCACUUGGGUCACCUUUAAAUAGGAGGAAGAAGUAAGUCCUGUGAACCAAUGACACGUUCCUGGCAUCCCAAAGUUCAAUUACCUCUCUUUGCAGCUUGUUGAAUUCUGAAGGCCACCUUGAAGGGUUAUCGUCAUCAAUGGGCAUUGGGUGUAAGCCAACAUCUUUUACAUCCCUUGAAGAUGGUAAGGGCUUUGAAUCCGUCUCCGGUACCGGCAACACGAGACAAUCCAUGUUAGAACCAUAAUGAGUCAGCUUGUCUACAACUUCUCUUCUUUAUGAAGCAAUAUAAUCAAAAUUACUCACCAUAGAACUAUCGGUCGUUCCUUCAACUAAAGUAAUGCUUUCAGUUAUCUUGUCAUCAGUUGUGGAUUUUGUAUCCUGUGCCUUACGCUCAUCAAUGGCAGCAUUUCUUGCAGAAGCCUGAGAAGCAUUUCUUGAUAUCCUUUGAGUCUCAGAACCAUAGGAAUGAUAGUUCGGAUAUUUGUAAAUUUGUACAACAAAAACAACAACAACAAAGCCUUUUCCCACUAAGUGGGGUCGGCUAUAUGAAUCCUAGAACGCCAUUGCACUCGGUUUUGUGUCAUGUCCUCCGUUAGAUCCAAGUACUCAAGUCUUUUCUUAAGGUCUCUUCCAAAUAGGUCUUCCUCUACCCCUUCGGCCCUGAACCUCUGUCCCGUAGUCACAUUUUCGAACCGGAGCGUCAGUAGGCCUUCUUUGCACAUGUCCAAACCACCGGAACCGAUUUUCUCUCAUAUUUCCUUCAAUUUUGGCUACUCCUCAUUUACCUCGGAUAUCCUCAUUCCCAAUCUUAUCCUUUCUCGUGUGCCCAUACAUCCCACGAAGCAUCCUCAUCUCCGCUACAACCAUUUUGUGUACGUGUUGAUGCUUCACCGCCCAACAUUCUGUGCCAUACAACAUCGCUUGGCCUUAUUGCCGUCCUAUAAAAUUUUUCCUUGAGCUUCAGUGGCCUACGACGGUCACCCAACACGCCGGAUACACUCUUACACUUCAUCCAUCCAGCAUUCUAUGAUUGAGAUCUCCAUCUAAUUCUCCGUUCUCUUGCAAAGAUAGAUCCUAGGUAGCGAAAACGGUCACUUUUUGUGAUCUUCGCUAGAUUGCUCCGGUCAUUAGUGUGGAUAAGUAUAUAAAUGGAUAGAGAUAGGAAAGAAAACAUAAGAUGUACGUGGUUCACCCAGAUUGGCUACGUCCACGGAAUGGAGGAGUUCUCAUUAAUUGUGAAGGGUUUACACAAGUACAUAGGUUCAAGCUCUCCUUUGGGGAGUACAAGUGAAUGAUUUAGUACAAAUGACAUUAGGAAAUAUUGUGGGAGAAUGAUCUCGUAACCACGAAAACUUCUAAGUACCGGAGUGUGGUAUCGUCUUGACUUUCCUUAUCUGUCUCAUAGGUAGAUGUGGCAUCUUCUCUGGAAGUACUCUUCCUCCAUCCAGGGGUGGUAUCUGUAACUGGUGGAGAUGCACAAGGUAAUGUAUCAAUGUCACUUGAAGCUUACUUGUAGUUUCAGGCUUGGUCAAGCGCGAUACAAACCAUGUAGUAGGAGUCCCCCAAGUCGCCGAGCUAGGGGAUCUGCUGAAAGAGGUAACAGACAAGGUAAGCAAUCAGAGCUCCGACUGAUUGUUCACAUUCUCCCUAUCUUGCAGGCAGCAUGAAGGAUAAAGAGAAGAAAAAUGAGAAGAGAUGAUAUGGGAUACUUUUGCUUUUGAAGAAGUAACUUUCCACAGGCUUAUUCUUGAACUGGGCUGGAGGGUUUUCUGGUUUCCUCCAGAGUAUAAGGCCGACUGAAGAAUUUGAGGGUCAAAACAAGUCCGUCAAAUCUAGAGUACGUUCGACCCUGCUGAUAUGGGAUACUUUUGCUUUUGACAGAGUAGUGGAUGUAUCGGCACGUGUGCUGUUACGCUUGUCUCCACAUGCUUCCUUGUAUCCUUCUCACUUGCCCUAUCUGUUCCUCAGGCAGAUGCGGUAUCUUCCCUGGAAGCAUAAGAUGUUGAAGAUGAGUACUCGAGAGCAAUGCCAGGUAAGUAAUCAAGUAAGGGGUUCCAGGCAGUCAGUUCCUGGCUGGAAGCUUGAUUCCAAGUGUUGACUGAUUGCUCUCUUUCUCCUUGUCUUGCAGGUAAGAACAAGGUCAAAGGAAAAGACAGGGAAAAAGCAUGAUAUGGGAUACUCUUGGUUUUAACCCUGAUGAUAUGAGAUAUUCUUGCUCUAGUAUAGCUUGUUUACAGAGGUAUUAUCGGGGGGAAAGAAAGCUGAAUAUUUCGAAAGGCUUCGUUGGGAGUGCCCUCUCAGAUAAGAGGAAGGGUUGAGCAUUUUUGCAGGUCUGCCUGUUCGUUGGGGAUGGAGGUCGACAUAUAUAGGAGUCUCCCUAACAUCAAGUAAUAAUGCUAUUCCUUUACCCUGCUUGGUCAUAGCACGGUAGUUGGAGCUGCCAGCUUCACAAGUUUUAACUCUGUCAGAGCACUUUGAAAAAGUGGUCUGUGGUAUCUGGAAAGCUGAUGUUGCGUGUGAAGAUUACAGACAAGCUUUAUCCAAUGAGAUCCGGCUCUUGAAGUUGGGAAUGUGGUGCCUCUUCGGUUUUCGAACAAGCAAUCCUGUCGGGGAUCUGGCUCUCGAGAUUCGGAGAACGAUGCCUCUUCGAUUUUUGAGAAAGCAAUCCUGCUGGGGGUCUGGCUCUCGAGAUUCGGAGAGCGGUGUCUUCGAUUUUUGAGAAAGUAAUCAUGUUGGGAGUUUGGCUCUCGAGAUUCGAAGGGCGGUGCCUCUUCGAUUUUGGAGCAAGCAAUCUUGUUGGGAGUGUUUUCUCGAAUGUGAGUAAAGGUUGGGCAUGUUUGCUAGUCUACCUUGCCACGAAGCACAGAGGUUGACACACAGGGACUUUCCAAUUAUCCAGCAGUGGUACUGUUCCUUUACCCUCUCUUCGAUUUUUGAGAAAGUAAUCAUGUUAGGAGUCUGGCUCUCGAGAUUCGGAGGGCGGUGCCUCUUCGAUUUUGGAGCAAGCAAUCUUGUUGGGGGUGUUUUCUCGAAUGUGAGUAAAGGUUGGGCAUGUUUGCUAGUCUACCUUGCCACGAAGCACAGAGGUUGACACACAGGGACUUUCCAAUUAUCCAGCAGUGGUACUGUUCCUUUACCCUCUCUUCGAUUUUUGAGAAAGUAAUCAUGUUGGGAGUCUGGAUCUCGAGAUUCGGAGGGCGAUGCCUCUUCGAUUUUGGUGCAAGCAAUCUUGUUGGGAGUGUUUUCUCGAAUGUGAGUAAAGGUUGGGCAUGUUUGCUAGUCUACCUUGCCACGAAGCACAGAGGUUGACACACCGGGACUUUCCAAUUAUCCAGCAGUGGUACUGUUCCUUUACCCUUGUGGGUAAUAAUAUGGUAGCUAGGCCUUCAAAAUUUAUGUGUCUACACUUUGUUAGUGUUGUUUCUUUGCUAUUCUUUUACCCUUCUUGGUCAGAGCGAUGUAGUGAGAGCUGCAAGCUUCACGUGUCUCAACUUUGUCAGAGAACUUUGGCAGAGUUAUAUGUGGUACCCAUGAGCUACUGUUGCGUGUGGGAAGUGGGUGAGUGAACAGUACGAUUCAUGUGCUUUCUACUUCGCCAGAAAUCUUCGACAGAAUGCCCAUAAUUUCCGCAAAGCUGAGUGUGCGUGACAGGUGCUGACAAGGCUGGAAAAGUAGUCUCAACUUUGUCAGAGAACUUUGGCAAAGUUAUAUGUGGUACCCAUGAGCUACUGUUGCGUGUGGGAAGUGCGUGAUUGAACAGUACGAUUCAUGUGCUUUCUACUUCGCCAGAAAUCUUCGACAGAAUGCCCAUAAUUUCCGCAAAGCUGAGUGCGUGUGACAGGUGCUGACAAGGCUGGAAAAGUAGGUGCCUCUUCGAUUUCUGAGAUCGGCCCUCGUGGUCUCUGAGCAGCCCAGCUUUUGAGAAAGCAAACCUCUUCGAUUUUUGAGAUCGGCCCUCGUGGUCUCUGAGCAGCCCAGCUUUUGAGAAAGCAAACCUCUUCGAUUUCUGAGAUCGGCCUUCGUGGUCUUUGAGCAGCCCAGCUUUUGAGAAAGCAAACGCCUCUUCGAUUUCUGAGAUCGACCCUCGUGGUCUCUGAGCCGCCCAGCUUUUGAGAAAGCAAACGCCUCUUCGAUUUCUGAGCAGGCGCCUCUUCGAUUUCUAAAGCUUCGUCGAGUGCAGAUUUUUAUAGGGGCUGACAUUAAGUUCCAAAACACACUUGAAUAUCCACCAGUAGAAGCUUCAUUCUUGCACUUCUAAGAUCUUGAUUUGUCCGACCUCUUCUCUCUUCAACACCUUUGAAAAUGUCUAGCCCCUCCGACCGUCGUUUUGACUUGAACCUUGUUGAAGAGGCAGCCCCGCCUUCUCCAGACAACAUAUGGCGCCCAUCCUUCGUCUCCCCUACUGGUCCUCUUACCGUUGGGGAUUCCGUGAUGAAGAAUGAUAUGACCGCUGCGGUAGUGGCCAGGAACCUUCUCACUCCCAAAGAUAACCGACUACUUUCCAAACGGUCUGAUGAGUUGGCUGUUAAGGAUUCUCUGGCUCUUAGUGUUCAGUGUACAGGUUCUGUGUCUAAUAUGGCCUAACGCCUAUUUGCUCGAACCCGCCAAGUUGAAUCAUUGGCGGCUGAAGUGAUGAGUCUCAAACAGGAGAUUAGAGGGCUCAAGCAUGAGAAUAAACAGUUGCACCGGCUCGCACAUGACUAUGCUACAAACAUGAAGAGGAAGCUUGACCAGAUGAAGGAAUCUGAUGGUCAGGUUUUACUUGAUCAUCAGAGAUUUAUGGGUUUGUUCCAAAGGCAUUUAUUGCCUUCAUCUUCUGGGGCUGUACCGCGUAAUGAAGCUCCAAAUGAUCAACCUCUGAUGCCUCCUCCUUCUAGGGUUCUGUCCAGUACUGAGGCUCCGAAUGAUCCCCCUCCGGUGCCUUCUCUUUCUGGGGCUCUACCGACUGCUGAGACUUCUCCUAAUCAACCUUUGUGAAGGCUCCCUCUUGUUUGUUUAUUUUGACUCAAGUAUAUGUACAUAUUUAUAACUUAUCGGGGAUAUCAAUAAAUAAGCUUUCCUUCAUUUCAACGUUUUGUGUUAAAUCACCAAAGCCUUCUUCGCUAAGUUUUUUGAAUUUUCUUUUGUUGAAGCUUGUACGUUGAAGCUUUGUGAGUGGAGCAUGUAGGUUGAGGUAAUGUUCCCUUAAUUUCCCGAGCGAGGACAACUUCUCGGUUGGAGACUUGGAAAAUCCAAGUCACUGAGUGGGAUCGGCUAUAUGAAUCUUAGAACGCCAUUGUGUUCUGUCCUGUGUCAUGUCCUCCAUUAGAUCCAAGUACUCUAAGUCUUUUCUUAGGGUCUCUCUCAAAGUUUUCCUAGGUCUUCCUCUACCCCUUCGGCCCUGAACCUCUGUCCCAUAGUCGCAUCUUCUAAUUGGAGCGUCAGUAGGCUUUCUUUGCACAUGUCCAAACCACCGUAACCGAUUUUCUCUCAUCUUUCCUUCAAUUUCGGCUACUUCUACUUUACCCCGGAUAUCCUCAUUCCUAAUCUUAUCCUUUCUCGUGUGCCCACACAUCCAACGAAGCAUCCUCAUCUCCGUUACACCCAUUUUGUGUACGUGUUGAUGCUUCACCGCCCAACAUUCUGUGCCAUACAGCAUCGCCGGCCUUAUUGCCGUCCUAUAAAAUUUUCCCUUGAGCUUCAGUGGCAUACGGCGGUCACACAACACGCCGGAUGCACUCUUCCACUUCAUCCAUCCAGCUUGUAUUCUAUGGUUGAGAUCUCCAUCUAAUUCUCCGUUCUUUUGCAAGAUAGAUCCUAGGUAACGAAAACGGUCGCUCUUUGGUAUUUCUUGAUCUCCGAUCCUCACCCCUAACUCGUUUUGGCCUUCAUUUGCACUGAACUUGCACUCCAUAUAUUCUGUCUUUGAUCGGCUUAGGCGAAGACCUUUAGAUUCCAACACUUCUCUCCAAAGGUUAAGCUUUGCAUUUACCUCUUCCUGAGUUUCAUCUAUCAACACUAUAUCGUCUGCGAAAAGCAUACACCAAGGAAUAUCAUCUUGAAUAUGUCCUGUUAACUCAUCCAUUACCAACGCAAAAAGGUAAGGACUUAAGGAUGAGCCUUGAUGUAAUCCUACAGUUAUGGGAAAGCUUUCGGUUUGUCCUUCAUGAGUUCUUACGGCAGUCUUUGCUCCUUCAUACAUAUCCUGUAUAGCUUGGAUAUAUGCUACUCGUACUCCUUUCUUCUCUAAAAUCCUCCAAAGAAUGUCUCUUGGGAUCCUAUCAUACGUUUUUUCCAAAUCUAUAAAGACCAUGUGUAAAUCCUUUUUCCCAUCUCUAUAUCUUUCCAUCAAUCUUCGUAAGAGAUAGAUUGCCUCCAUGGUUGAGCGCCCUGGCAUGAACCCGAAUUGGUUGUCCGAAACCCGUGUCUCUUGCCUCAAUCUAUGCUCAAUGACUCUCUCCCAGAGCUUCAUUGUAUGACUCAUUAGCUUAAUACCCCUAUAGUUCAUGCAAUUUUGUACAUCGCCCUUAUUCUUGUAGAUAGGCACCAAAGUGCUCGUUCGCCACUCAUUUGGCAUCUUCUUCGUUUUCAAAAUCCUAUUGAAAAGGUCAGUGAGCCAUGUUAUACCUGUCUCUCCCAAAACUUUCCACACUUCGAUUGGUAUAUCGUCUGGGCCCACUGUUUUUCUAUGCUUCAUCUUCUUCAAAGCUACAACCACUUCUUCCUUCCGGAUUCUACGAUAAAAAGAGUAGUUUCUACACUCUUCUGAGUUACUCAACUCCCCUAAAGAAGCACUCCUUUCAUGUCCUUCAUUGAAAAGAUUAUGAAAAUAACCUUUCCAUCUGUCUUUAACCGCGUUCUCUGUAGCAAGAACCUUUCCAUCCUCAUCCUUGAUGCACCUCACUUGGUUUAGGUCCCUUGUCUUCUUUUCCCUUGCUCUAGCUAGUUUAUAGAUAUCCAACUCUCCUUCUUUGGUAUCUAGUCGCUUAUACAUAUCGUCAUAAGCCGCUAACUUAGCUUCUCUCACAGCUUUCUUCGCCUCUUGCUUCGCUUUUCUAUACCUUUCACCAUUUUCAUCGGUCCUAUCCUUGUAUAAGGCUUUACAACAUUCCUUCUUAGCCUUCACCUUUGUUUGUACCUCCUCAUUCCACCACCAAGAUUCCUUUUGGUGUGGGGCAAAGCCCUUGGACUCUCCUAAUACCUCUUUUGCUACUUUUCGGAUACAACUAGCCAUGGAAUCCCACAUUUGGUUAGCUUCCCCCUCUCUAUCCCACACACACUGGGUGAUUAUUUUCUCUUUGAAAAUGGCUUGUUUUUCUUCUUUUAGAUUCCACCAUCUAGUCCUUGGGCACUUCUAAGUCUUGUUCUUUUUUCUCACUCUUUUGAUAUGUACAUCCAUCACCAACAAGCGAUGUUGAUUAGCCACGCUCUCUCCUGGUAUAACUUUGCAAUCCUUACAAGUUAUACGAUCCUCUUUCCUCAUUAGAAGAAAAUCUAUUUGUGUUUUUGACGACCCACUUUUGUAAAUUUGUAUUUGAAAAAAAAAUUAGGAAUGAUAGUUCGGAUAUUUAAUGAGCUUUUUUAUUUUUUAUUUUUUACAAACCACAACAUUGGUGGGUUAAAUACACAUUAGUGGUUAGGAGAGAGAAAUUGGUAAAAAUCGAAGUAGGACCAUCAUGUGUUUAAAUUCUAGAGUGUAUCGCAGAAUUCUAAUCUCAGGAAAAAAAAAAAACUAAGAAUUUGAAUGCUAUUAAAACCCUUAGUAAUAAAAAUUAUUGGCAACGAAUACAACUAUUUUGCGAUAAUACCAUAAUGUUUAAAACAAUUACAAAGAGGAAUGAAUGAAGGAAAAUUUCGCUUGAAUCACAUUAACACAUAAACCCUAAAACCUAGUAACAAAUAGUGAACACUACGUACAUGAUUUUUUUUAGAGCCAAAAGGGUACUAGACAAGAAAAUUGGAAAGGUUUACUCUCUGUCUCUCUCCUAGGGUUAGGGAUCUACUGAACCUACCAGCUUUGCAACAAUUUCGGCACUAUCCAUGAUAUGGUCCAUGCUUUUGUGUCACUCCUCAAUAUUCUCUGCAAGAGGAAAUAAUAGUAAUCAAAAUAUCAUAAUGUUAUGUAAAACUGCAUAUAAGUACCUUCUGAAGGGGGUUAAUUUUGCUCGUUUGCCUUGAACUCCGGUUUGUUUAAAAGUAACGACAAGCAGGAACAAUAAUGAGACUAGCCUUAAUUGUUCUGCAGUACAUGGACAAACGUAUUUCUCGCCAUUAUUAUUCCUACUAUGUCAAAUUUGUGAAGAAGCGAAGAAUUGUUGAAAUAGAAUAGAUUAAGUAAAUGAGCACCCUUUUAUUGGUAAACUCAUUUUAGCACAAAUAUUAUAUCACACCCUACUUCGUAUGGUACAAUACUCAUGCCCCCACACGCCCAAAUAUAACGUUAACGAGCUACAGUUGCGUCAAGGGCGGAGCCAAGAUUUUUUUCUUGGGUGGGCUAACUGAAAUUAGUGCCAUAAAAUCAUACGUUUAUUUUUUAGGAAAACUAAUGAAAAGGGCUUGAAAACUUUGAGUUUUAACGAUAAGAACAAAAUAAAGGGUAAAGUGAAUAGUAUCAGGAUUGACUUUUUAGUGUAAAAAUGUGGUUUUUCGUUAAAGUGAACAGUACCGGGAGCUUUUCGUUAAAGUUCCCCUUUUUUUUUUGCUUACAUAAAACUAUAUAGUAAUCAAUAUAAAAGAACGACAAUAGAAUAUAAAUUAUUCUCAAAAUCAUAACCUAGCCGAUGUAUUCAAGGACAAUAUAAAUAAUUAACCUAUUAAUUAAAUCAGGAAUAAGUAAAUAAAGAGAUUAAGAACGUACCAAAGGUGACUUCAUUGGAAAAUCGCAAUGGAAAGUACAAAAUUGCGGACAUAGGGAUUUACUUGUGGAUUUAAAAAAAAAAAAUCAUUUCUUUUCUUGAGAAAGAAGCACAGAAGCUAUAUCGCAUAUGGUAAAUGAUCUUUUUCUUUACUCCAUACCAUAUUCAAAGUGAGUUGGUUGAAAGACCCAGAAAUAUAGUCACUGAGGGGUUUUAGGAUAGGAUAAAGGGGGACGGGAGAUAGAACUAAUUUAUAAUUUUUAGCAUAAAACUUAUGGUGUGUGAUAUCUACACAUCCCUUUUUACUUCUCACACACCCCUCAUCAAUUUCUAUCAUUUGAUAUUUUUCAAGUCAUUUGAUCCUUUUCAAGUCAUUUGAUCCGACGGUCGAAAAUUAAAAAGGUAUGUGAGAAGUAAAAAUGGAUGUGUGGAUAGCACACCCCAAACUUAUUAUUUAUUACCUAUCCUUUACUAAAUAUACAUUAAAUAAUAACCUGUAUUGAAAUUGAAUGGCCUAUAAGCAUGAGAUUACAAAAGAAUAGUGUUAUUCACUUUCAUUUUUACCUCCAACACACCCUUAUUAAUCUUUUACCAUUGAUCAUCUUCAAUUCAUUCUAUACGAAUGUCGAAAAUUGAGAGAAGGUGUGUGAGAAGUAAAAAUGAGUGCAUGAAUAGCACUAUCAUUACAGAAAACAUCCCUGAGCUAUAGCCCACCUUAGCCAUGUGGGUGGCUCCGCCAUUGAGUUGUGUCAAUGUUAAGUUUCAAAUCAUUCAACAAAUGUUCUUGCUUUGGUUAUUCAGACCAAACAAAAAAAAAGAUAAAAAGAAUAUAAAAGAUACGAAGGUGUGCAAAAUGAACACACUUUUACAAAGUGUAGCAUGUGCAUAACAACUUGAGCCAAAAGGCAAUUAGGAGUCAAUCAAGAGUCGUUCAUAAGCCUAUUUAAACGUCGUUUUGUAAAAAUUAUGGGCAAUACGCCGUAGUGAAGUUUUCAUCUUUCUAAACUUGGACCUGGAAACAAUGAAAAAGACAUGUCUUACUUUUACCAGGAAUUUCACGAUCAUACGAGUAGCCAUAUAGCGGACAAUAGUUUUGUACAUGCUUGAAAUAGGACGAGCAACUUAAGUUUCUAGAAAAAUAAGCAUUACACAUCAAUAUCCAAUGUAGCUGCAAUAACCAAACAUAAUGCACGGGUAAAGGCCGAACAAAUAUAAAACUGAUCUCCAUUACUUACGAUGUUUCACGAAGUUUUUUUAAAUUGGUGUGGUAGUUGUUUUAUUACUAUUGUUCAUUCCUCAAUAAUUUAGAAAAUGAUUUACAACGCAAACCAACAAUGUGAAGUCGUAACAAGGCAUCAAAGCAAAUACAUCAAAAUUUUAUUCUAACUCAUGAAACAUCCCACAAAUUUGUUAGCGCUAGAGAAGUUGAAUUCUUUGUUUAAGAUAACGAAGAAGAAGGUGGGACAGAAGUUGCAAUUAUACAAUAAUUACAUACUUGGUCAGCCCUAGCUUGAAUGGCAGUUCUGUUCCCGGUGUGUUCAUAAGUAAAGGUGUUGUUCAUGAAAACAUUAUGGCACGGUCUUCCUAAUGCCACAAGAGCCUGGCAACUAAAGUCACUGAUUUUCUUUCCUUUGAAAAUAUAGUUGUACACGUCGAAUGCGUACUUUAUGCUGAAAUGUUUUUUGCACUCAACCACGGCCGGCUAGUCAUCCAAAUGCGCCAAUGUUGGAAGUGCGCAACUCGCCAAAAACAAAAUGACCACAAUUGGAUGUAUGUUUCGUCUGGCCAUAAUUGUGGAACAAGUAACUUUUGAUUUUCUUAGAAAAUGACCCCUUAGAUGUAGUUGAACUUUGAUGCAAGAAGUUCUACACUUAUAAGGGAUAAGGCAAAGGUACGAGUCAUUCGAAAAAUGAAAAACACAUUUUCCUUUAAAACUACUUUAGCAACGUAUUUACUGAUGUAAGGUAUGAAAUACGAGAAUUUCUAUUUGGUAUUUAUUUUGGUACCAUUAACGCAACUUACAAGUUCUCAUAAAUUGUUUAAUUAAUCUCAAUAAUCACAUAGCUAUUUAUUAUUUCGCACAAAUAUUACUUGUUUGCAAAUUAAUUCAAUGACUAGUUUAUUACAAGAGAGUUGCGAAAACUAUGAACUAAACUUGCAUGUUGUGUUAGUGACUAUCGUUGCAUGAAAAAGAGAAGACAACCAUGAAAAAGAACACAACAAGCCUUAAUUGUUAUGUAGUAAAUGGACAAAAAUAUUUCUCAAGCAUUAUUAUUCCAACUAUAUUAAAAUGAAAAUGUGAUGUAAGAGAUUAAAUUUGUUAUGAAGUGAAGAAUUGUUGAAGUGCAAUAGAUUAAGUAAAUGAGCACCCUUUCUUGGUAAACUCAUUUUAUCACAAAUAUUAUAUCACACCCUACUGCGUAUAGUACAAUACUCAUGCCCCACAUGCCCGAAUAUAAUGUUAAUGACCUACAAUUACGUCCAUGAUAAGUUUCAAAUCAUUCAACAGAUAUUCUAGUUUUGGUUAUUUGGACCAAAGAAAAAAAGAUAAAAAAAAUAUUAAAAAAAAGAUACAGAGGUGUGCAAAAUGAACACACUUUUACAAAGUGUGGCAUGUGCAUAACAACUUGAACCAAAAGGCCAAUAUGAGUUGAUCAAGAGUGUUUCACAAGCCUAUUUCAAUGUCAUUUUGAAAGAAUUUUGGGCAAUACACCAUGGCCACGUUUUCAUCUUUCUCAACUUGGACCCAUAAACAAUGAAUAAGACAUGUAUGAUUGUUACCAGGAAGAUUCCAAUCGUACGAGUAGCCAUAUAGCAGACAAUAGUUCCGUACAUCCUUGAAAUGGGACAAGGAAAAUAAGUUUUAAGACAAAGAAAAAAAAGCAUUACAUAUCAAUAUGCAGCGUAGCUGCAAUAACCAAACGUAAUGCACAGGUAAAGGCCAACAAAUGUAAAAGUGAUCUCUAUUACUUACGAUGUAUCCAGAAGUUUUUUAAAUUGGUGUGGUAGUUGUUUUAUUACUACUGUUGAUUUCCUCAAUCAUUUUGAAAAUGCUUUAUAACUCAAAGCAAAAAAGUGAAGUCGUAUCAAGGCAUCAAAGCAGAUACAAUGAAAUUUUAUUCUAACUCAUGAAACAUCUCACAAUUUGUUAGCCCUAGAGAGGUUCAAUUCUCAAUUUAAGAUAGCGAAGAAGGAGGUGGGACGGAAGUUGUAAUUAUACAAUGAUUAAAUACUCAGUCAGCCCUAGCUUGAAUGGCAGUUAUGUUCCAAGUGUGUUCAUAAGUAGAGGUGUUGUUCACGAAAAUGUUAUGGCACGAUCUUCCCAACGCCAUAAAGGCCCGGCAACUAAAGUCACCAAAAGCCUAUUUCAACCUCGUUUUGUAAACAAUUUGGGCACUACGUCAUAGUGAAGUUUUCAUCAUUCUAAGCUUAGACCCGGAAACAAUGAACCUAUGACUGUUACCAAGAAUAUCGCGAUCAUACGAGUAGCCAUAUAGCGGACAAUAGUUCCGUACAUGCUUGAAAUGGGACGAGCAACCUAAGUUUCUAGGAACAUAAGCAUUACACAUCAAUAUGCAGUGUAGCGGCAAUAACCGAAAAUAAUGCAAAGGUAAAGGCCAAACAAAAUGUAAAACUGAUCUCUAUUACUUACGAUGUUUCACAAAGUUUUUUAAAUUGGAGUGGCAGUUGAUUUAUUACUAUUGUUCAUUCCUCAAUCAUUUGAAAAUGCUUUACAACUCAAAGCAACAAAGUGAAGUCGUAACAAGGCAUCAAAGCAAAUACAUCAAAAUUUUAUUCUUACUCAUGAAACAUCCCACAAAUUUGUUAGCCCUAGUGAAGUUCAAUUCUCAAUUUAAGAUAGCGAAGAAGGAGGUGGGACAGAAGUUGCAAUUAUACAAUGAUUAAAUACUCGGUCAGCCCUAACUUGAAUGGCAGUUCUGUUCCUGGUGUGUUCAUAAGUAAACGUGCUAUUCACGAAAACAUUAUGGCACGGUUUUCCCAGCGCCACAAGGGCCCGGCAACUAAAGUCACCGAUUUUCUUCCCUUUGAAAAUAUAGUUGUACACGUCGAAUGCGUACUUUAUGCUGAAAUGUUUUUUGCACUCAACCACUGCCGGCGAGUCAUCCAAAUGCGCCAAUGUUGGAAGUGCGCAAUUCGCCAAAAGCAAAAUGACCAUAAUUGGAAACAUGUUUAGCCCGGCCAUAAUGAUGGAAAUAAUGAGUAACUUUUGAUAUUCUUAGAAAAUGAUCCUUUAGAUGCAGUUGAACUUUGGUGCAAGCAGUUAUAUACUUAUAAGGGAUGAGGCAAAGGUGAGAGUCAUUCGUAAAAUGAAAAAUGCAUUUUCCUUUAAAACUACUUUAGCAACGUAUUUGCUUAUGUGAGGUAUCAAAUACGAGGGUUUCUAAUUUGGUAUUUAUUUUCGUACCGUAAACUCAACUUACAAGUACCCAUAAAUUGUUUAAUUAAUCUCAACAAUCACCUAGCUAUUUAUUAUUUCACACUAAAAUUACAUGUUUGCAAAUUAAUACACCGACUAGUUUAAUACAAUAGAGUUGCGAAAACGGUGAACUGAACUUGUAUGUCGUGUUAGUGACUACCGUUGCGUGCAAAAGUGACGACAAGCAGGAAAAAGAACGCAACUAGCCUUAAUUGGUCUGCAAUAAAUGGACAAACAUAUUUCUCGACAUUAUUAUUCCUACUAUGUCAAAAUGAAAAUGUGACGUAAGAGAAUAAAUUUGUUAAAAAGUGAAGAAUUAUUGAAGUAUAAUACAUUAACUAAAUGAGCACCUUUUUCUUGGUAAACUCAUUUUAGAACAAAUAUUAUAUCACACCCUACUGCGUAUAGUACAAUACUCAUGCCCCACAAGCCCGGAUAUAAUGUUGACGAUCUACAGUUGCGUCAAUGUUAAGUUUCAAAUCAUUCAACAAAUGUUCUUGUUUGGUUAUUCAGACUAAAGAAAAAAAGAUUAAAAAAAAUAUAAAAGAUACGGAUCUGUGCAAAAUGAACACACUUUUACAAGGUGUAGCAUGUGCAUAACAACUUGAACCAAAAGGCCAAUAAGAGUCAAUCAAGAGUCUUCCAUAAGCCUAUGUCAACCUCGUUUUGUAGACAAUUUGGGCAAUACGUCGUAGUGAAGUUUUCAUCAUUUUAAGUUUGGACCCAGAAACAAUGAACGUAUGACUGUUACCAAGAAUAUCGCGAUCAUACGAGUAGCCAUAUAGCGGACAAUAGUUCCGUACAUGCUUGAAUAGGGACGAGCAACCUAAGUUUCUAGAAAAAUAAGCAUUACACAUCAAUAUGCAGUGUAGCUGCAAUAACCGAAAAUAAUGCAAAGGUAAAGGCCAAACAAAUGUAAAACUGAUCUCUAUUACUUACGAUGUUCCACAAAGUUUUUUAAAUUGGAGUGGUAGUUGUUUUAUUACUAUUGUUCAUUCCUCAAUCAUUUGAAAAUGUUUUACAACUCAAAGCAACAAAGUAAAGUCGUAACAAAGAAUCAAAGCAAAUACAUCAAAAUUUUAUUCUUACUCAUGAAACAUCCCACAAAUUUGUUAGCCCUAGUGAAGUUCAAUUCUCAAUUUAAGAUAGCGAAGAAGGAGGUGGGACAGAAGUUGCAAUUAUACAAUGAUUAAAUACUCGGUCAGCUCUAACUUGAAUGGCAGUUCUGUUCCCGGUGUGUUCAUAAGUAAAGGUGCUAUUCACGAAAACAUUAUGGCACGGUUUUCCCAGCGCCACAAGGGCCCGGCAACUAAAGUCACCGAUUUUCUUCCCUUUGAAAAUAUAGUUGUACACGUCGAAUGCGUACUUUAUGCUGAAAUGUUUUUUGCACUCAACCACUGCCGGCGAGUCAUCCAAAUGCGCCAAUGUUGGAAGUGCGCAAUUCGCCAAAAGCAAAAUGACCAGAAGUGGAAACAUGUUUAGCCCGGCCAUAAUGAUGGAAAUAAUGAGUAACUUUUGAUUUUCUUAGAAAAUGAUCCUUUAGAUGCAGUUGAACUUUGGUGCAAGCAGUUAUAUACUUAUAAGGGAUGAGGCAAAGGUGAGAGUCAUUCGUAAAAUGAAAAACGCAUUUUCCUUUAAAACUACUUUAGCAACGUAUUUGCUUAUGUGAGGUAUCAAAUACGAGGGUUUCUAAUUUGGUAUUUAUUUUCGUACCGUAAACUCAACUUACAAGUACCCAUAAAUUGUUUAAUUAAUCUCAACAAUCACCUAGCUAUUUAUUAUUUCACACUAAAAUUACAUGUUUGCAAAUUAAUAGACCGACUAGUUUCAUACAAUAGAGUUGUGAAAACCCGUGAACUGAACCUGUAUGUCGUGUUAGUGACUACCGUUGCGUGAAAAAGUGACGACAAGCAAGAAAAAGAACGCGACUAGCCUUAAUUGUUCUGCAAUAAAUGGACAAACAUAUUUCUCGACAUUAUUAUUCCUACUAUGUCAAAAUGAAAAUGUGACGUAAGAGAUUAAAUUUGUUAAGAAGCGAAGAAUUGUUGAAGUACAAUACAUUAACUAAAUGAGCACCAUUUGCUUGGUAAACUCAUUUUAGAACAAAUAUUAUAUCACACCCUACUGCGUAUAGUACAAUACUCAUGCCCCACAUGCCCGGAUAUAAUGUUGACGAUCUACAGUUGCGUCAAUGUUAAGUUUCAAAUCAUUCAACAAAUGUUCUUGUUUUGGUUAUUCAAACUAAAGAAAAAAGGAUUAAAAAAUAUAUAAAAGAUACGGAGCUGUGCAAAAUGAACACACUUUUACAAGGUGUAGCAUGUGCAUAACAACUUGAACCAAAAGGCCAAUAAGAGUCAAUCAAGAGUCUUUCAUAAGCCUAUUUCAACCUCGUUUUGUAAACAAUUUGGGCAAUAUGUUGUAGUGAAGUUUUCAUCAUUCUAAGCUUGGACCCGGAAACAAUGAACGUAUGACUGUUACCAAGAAUAUCGCGAUCAUACGAGUAGCCAUAUAGCGGAUGUUUAUACCAUAUUUAGGGCCUCGUAUUUAGAUCUCGUACAAAUACUCAGGGGACUUAAAUGUAAUUAUGGGAUAAAGGAAGGGGCAAAUAUGUAAUAAGUGAGGAGUCCUUAUUCUAUAAAAGGACCCCUCACCCUCACAAUUGGAGAGGGCUCAUUCUCACCAUCGGAGGCCAUUUCUGAAGCCUCUCACCCCCUCUCAAAGCUUCCUCACACCCCCUAAGCUCUAAGCUCUCUCUCUCUCUCCCUCUUCAACACAGAAAUACAAUACAAUCAGUGUGGACGUAGCCCAAACCUUGGGGUGAACCACGAUAACUCUUGUGUCAUUUACAUUUCUUGCAGAUUCACGGUCGGAUUUACGUUGUUCCAAGACCAUCCGGUUUUGUGCAUCAACAUUUGGCGCCGUCUGUGGGAAACGACACGAAAAGCUAUAUCUACUAUUUCUGAGCAAAAUCCAACUGUUGGGUUUCGUUGUGAAGAUCAAAGAUACCAGAUAUGGAUGCCUUCUCUUCCUCCUUUCUAUCUAUAUUUCCCACUCAAAAAAUAUAUAUAUCAAUUUCUCCUGCCAUAACAUCCCCCAAGCUCAGCAGCAUCUAUGCUGUAAGAAUUGAAACCCUUCAGUGAAACCCUCCAGUGAAACCCUCAGUGGACCCCAGGCACGUGCUCUCCUACAACUUUGCUCCAGUUGAAGAACUUCCGCCCACGGAGUGCGAGAUCAUAUAGGGCACCCUGUCGCCGUGCCUCGACGGAGCCUACAUUCUAUAAAUCCCCGAACCCGCAGUACCUUCCGCGUGGGCCUACCACCUGUUUGACGGGGAAGGAAUACUUCACUCCGUUAGGAUUUCUGGAGGCUGGACGGUGCUCUGCAGCAAAUAUGUCAACACCGGUGCUCAGUGCACCGUUGAACGCGACGUCGGCCACCCUAUUCUUCCCAACGUCUUCCCUGGCUUCAACGGCCUCACUCGACCCAACAAGGUCAGAUCUUCGACGACGCCAGCGCGAUCCACCUUCACCAUGAACCGCUGCCUGAGCUGGAGCUGCACCGACAGGGCCUUGCUCUUCCAUGGCCGCCCACUCCAUCCUUCGCAACCAUAAACCCGUACCUUUACCCAGUACAGGAUUCAACGACCCACGUCUCUCCUCUCAGUACUCAGCUGAAGAACAAGAAUAUCACAAAUGACUAUGAAGGAAGGUUCAAGCGACGAAAUGGGCCAUGCGUUCACCGAGUCAGAAACCCAACGAUGGAACAAAUCUAGUCCUAGCUCUAGCACUUUGGGUAUGAUGUGCUUGUUUCAAGAGCUGCACGAGAGAGAUGGUGUGCCUGCAUAAGCCUUGGUCGCCGGAUGAGCCGAUUCCCUGCGAGCUAGUCGACGGCGGGUGCAGGUGGUGGAGCGCACAGAAUGCAGUUGUAAACCUAGAAGAUCACUCCAACCUCCAAUCAGAUAAACUAGUAAAAAGGAUGGGGAAAGAUGCGAAGGCAUGAGGAAAAGGGAAGGGAAAGGAAAAUUCGAGAAGGUCGACGAUGGACCCAGGCACCUGCACUUAUGUUAAAGCAAGGCACAAACUUUAUGAAAAGAAAAGAACAAAAGCAGAAGAGCAGAAAAGAAAAGUACUUUGAUGGGAUUUUUACAGCUGGAGUACACCAGCUUGUGUUUCAAACAGCAGAAAAAGAAAAAAGAGGCGUGAUAGUGGAUGGGCACGACCAAGAUGUCCAAGAAAAGCAAAAGGAUGUUUGGAAAUAAAGUGGGAGACUGAAAAGCAGAGGGAGAAAGUGGAUGAGAUGAUUGAGGGCUCCAUGGAGGAUGUUAUCCUACCAGAGAAAGUGGAUGUAAUAAAUUCGGAGUAGAAAGAUAAAAGCAAAAGGGUGGUGGCUGUCCAAAGCAGCUAUCAUUUUAGAGAAAACAAAGGCGAAAGCAAAUAGGAGGCACAUGGGGACACUGCAAAAGCAAGGAAAAAACACCCCACCAGAAUGAUGUAAUUUAUGUUUCGUAUCUUUCGGAGAUAUUUGUAUAAACCCCAUCAGAGGGUAAUAUAUAUAAACCCCAUCAGAGGGUAAAAAAAAAAAAAAAAAAAAAAAAAAAAAAAAGGAAAAGCCCAAAACAAAUGGGCUGACAUGUUGUGGAGGGCGAAGGCCCAUAUACCCAAAAUAGCACCAACCAGGUCAUCAAAAGUACGCCCAGUACUUCAAAUCAGACAUGAGCAUUACUCAUGUCAAUCAUACAUAAACAUUCAUGAGCAUUACUCAUGUCAAUCAUACAUAAACAUUCAUGAGCAUUACUCAUCCAAUCAUACAUAAACAUUCAUGAGCAUCACUCAUGUCAACAUCCAUGAGCAUUACUCAUGUCAAUCAUACAUAAACAUUCAUGAGCAUUACUCAUCCAAUCAUACAUAAACAUUCAUGAGCAUCACUCAUGUCAACAUCCAUGAGCAUCACUCAUGUCAAUCAAACAUAAACAUUCAUGAGCAUCACUCAUGUCAAUUAGCUUCAAACGCUUCAUUUACAAAAGCUCCAGCUUCGAAAGCUUCAUUUACAGAGCUCUAGCUUCGAAAGCUUCAUUUACAGAGCUCUAGCUUCAAAGCUUCACUUGCAAAGCUUCACCUACAAAGCUUCACCUACAAAGCUUCAGUGCAAGGUAUACAAAUAUCGCCUCCUAACAACCGCCACUUCGGCCCAUACAUGGAUUCAAUUUGAAGUCUCCAGCCAACAGACUCUAUUGACCGAAGACUUGGGGGACUACAUUAUGUACCAUAUAUUGGGCCUCAACUGGGCCUCAUAAAAAAUACUUGGGAGACUCUAGCCCAUCACUUAUGUAUUGAGGAGCGAGCCCUUAUUCUAUAAAAGGGACUCCUUCACUUUUAGAGAGCACUCAUGAAAAAUACUUGGGGGACUCUAGCCCAUCACUUAUGUAUUGAGGAGUGAGCCCUUAUUCUAUAAAAGGGAAUCCCUCACUUUCAUUAGAGAGCACCCAUUAUUCAUGUACUGAGGAGUGAACCCUUAUUUUAUAAAAGGGACUCCCUCACCACCUUUAGAGAGCAUCGCCGCCUACUGAGCAACCGUCUCACUGCGAGCAUCAACUCUAACCCAUCACUUAUGUAUUGAGGAGAGAGCCCUUAUUCUAUAAAAGGGACUCCCUCACCUUCAAACGCCACAAGCCAAGCCAACCAAGGCAACAUAAGCUACAAGCAAAGCGGCCUCACAACAUGUGCUACUUCUAGUUGAGCAUCAUUUCAGAUUGGGCACCGCCUCAUAUCGAGCAUCAGUUACUUCGGCCCACACAUGGACUGAAUUUCAAGUCUCCAGCCAAAAGACUCUCUUGACUGAAGACUUGGGGGACUACUGUUUAUACCAUAUUUAGGGCCUCGUAUAUUUGGGCCUUGGGCCUUGUAUUUGGGCCUCACACUAAAGCCCAUACUUUGUAAAAGAGGAGGAGCCCCUUAUUCUAUAAAAGGGGACUCCUCCCCUCAUUCUAGAGGAGGCUCAUUCUCACCCUCAGAUCUCAUCCUCAGAGGCCAAUUCCUAAGUUUCUCCUCACCCCUCUCAAAGCUCUCACUUAUAGAGCUCUUUCUCUCCCUCACUUCUCAGAGAAAUAUAAUACAAUCAGUGUGGACGUAGCCCAAACCUUGGGGUGAACCACGAUACAUCUUGUGUUAUUUACAUUACAUGCAGAUUCACGGUCGGAUUUACGUUGUACCAAGACCAUCCGGUUUUGUGCAUCAACAGCGGACAAUAGUUCCGUACAUGCUUGAAAUGGGACGACCAACCUAAGUUUCUAGAAAAAUAAGCAUUACACAUCAAUUUGCAGUGUAGCUGCAAUAACCGAAAAUAAUGCAAAGGUAAAGGCCAAACAAAUGUAAAACUGAUCUCUAUUACUUACGAUGUUUCACAAAGUUUUUUAAAUUGGAGUGGUAGUUGUUUUAUUACUAUUGUUCAUUCCUCAAUCAUUUAAAAAUGCUUUACAACUCAAAGAAACAAAGUGAAGUCGAAGCAAGGCAUCAAACCAAAUACAUCGAAAUUUUAUUCUUACUCAUGAAACAUCCCACAAAUUUGUUAGCCCUAGUGAAGUUCAAUUCUCAAUUUAAGAUAGCGAAGAAGGAGGUGGGACAGAAGUUGCAAUUAUACAAUGAUUAAAUACUCGGUUAGCCCUAGCUUGAAUGGCAGUUCUGUUCCCGGUGUGUUCAUAAGUAAAGGUGCUAUUCACGAAAACAUUAUGGCACAGUUUUCCCAGCGCCACAAGGGCCCGGCAACUAAAGUCACCGAUUUUCUUCCCUUUGAAAAUAUAGUUGUACACGUCGAAUGCGUACUUUAUGCUGAAAUGUUUUUUGCACUCAACCACUGCCGGCGAGUCAUCCAAAUGCGCCAAUGUUGGAAAUGCGCAAUUCGCAAAAAGCAAAAUGACCAUAAUUGGAAACAUGUUUAGCCCGGCCAUAAUGAUGGAAAUAAUGAGUGACUUUUGAUUUUCUUAGAAAAUGAUCCCUUAGAUGCUAUUGAAUUGUGGUGCAAGGAGUUCUAUACUUAUAAGGGAUGAGGCAACGGUGAGAGUCAUUCGUAAAAUGAAAAACGCAUUUUCCUUUACAACUACUUUAGCAACAUAUUUGCUGAUGUGAGGUAUCAAAUACGAGGGUUUCUAAUUUGGUAUUUAUUUUUCAUAACGUAAACUCAACUUGCAAGUACCCAUAAGUUGUUUAAUUAAUCUCAACAAUCACCUAGCUAUUUUGACACGCCCGGACCCUGAUAUUCCCCGAAUACCCGGACCAACACGUGCUGGCCGACACCCGGGGGUGACGAAAGCCAUUAAUUGAUACAAAAGCUAAGAAUAAGAAAUAAAUAAGGGUUAGAAAUUUGAAAUACAAUGAGUUAAAAGUUUUAUGAACGUGCUCAGAGCAUACAACUAAACCUAAUCACUAAAAAGAAUUAAGAUAAAAUUUAAUGAAUAAAGGAGUGAGUCCUACAUUCGAGAAGAUCCGAAGAUACUGCUACGAAAGUGUCUUGACGCUGGGAUUAUGUGCCUUGAUUCUAAGUCCUGAAUGGGGGCACAAAACAAAGGUGAGUGGACCAAGUUUAUAUAUAUCAUAAUAAUAAAACAGUUAUCAAUGUACUAACCCCCACAGUUUAUAUAAUGAAAACUACUAGCAUAAUAAGUGAUGGAUUUAAUAAAAAUCCUAGCAUGCCAAAAUAUCUCAAUAGUCAUAUCGCGGAAUAUCAUCGCGGAAAUCAAAACAAUAAACGUCUCAUAAAUUGUCUCGUAAGCGCGGUGUGCUGCUAGAUAGAUCACCUAAUAAAUAUAACUCCCGGCCCAAUGCCUGCACCUCAGUCUCUGUGCCCGUAGCCAGAGAUAACUCCCUCCCGGCCCAAUGCCUGUCACCGUGUCCCUCAGCCUUUCGCUAGGGAUUAUUUCUCCCGGCCUAAAUGCCAACACCAAAUCAUCGCCCCAGGCGGCAUAGUGUCCACUAGGUACGCACAAAUAGUUACGUCUCUCUUGAAUAACCACUUCAUAGCAUAGGUUACCGAUCAUCAUCUACACUAUAAAGAGGGGUUCAAAAACAUGUUCUAGCAUCCUAUCGUCAUCUAUCAGAUAGUUUACCAGUUCAUGGUUUUUAUAGAAAAUAUGAUAUAUAUUAAAAUAUGGCUCAAUAUAAGCUAACAAUUAUUUCCUCACCAAAACACGAGACGAAAUCAAUAAAUUCAGUAAAUAGGAUUGAUAUAAAUCAAUUCACAAAAUUCGUAGGCAUGCUAAUCAUUUAUGCAAUUACUACAAAAUUAUGUAAUUUUAGAAAGGGUCCACUCACAGUACUUAGUUGCCAAAAGCUGCGCCACUAGCGAAGACGGAAACGUCACAAUAAUUGCCCCUAAGCACAUAAAGAGUCCAAUAAAUAAAACUAUAUAAUAGAAAUUGAAUUUGGGAAAACGGACAUUGAAAACGGAUUCAGAACGUCGAAUUACCCUAAGAAGAGUCCCGGAUGAAAACCCGAAAAGUCAACCCUAAAGUCAACGUUGACCGGGGGUCAACGUUCAAAUUAGGCCUAACGGGUUUUAGGCUUGAAAUCCGGAUUAGGGUUUGGGUUUAAAUAGGAUUAGGAUUUAUUGGGUUUUGGUUUUAGGGUUCUAAGGUUAAAAGGGUUUAGGGUGAAAAUGGGUGGUUUGGGCUUAAGCCCAAACCCAAACAACUAACACACACACACACACCUAAUACACACACAUAAAGCCUGGCCCUAAGGCCUCACAAAAGGGCUGGGCUCGGCAGGGAAGGCCCAAAGCCUUGGGUUUCGGUGGGUCGCCGGACCCAAUGGGAGAGAAAGCCGGAAAUCGGCCGGAAAACCACACUCACUUUAAACGGCCAUAACUUUGUCAAUACUUAACGAAAUCAAGCGAGACAAAAACGAAAGUUGUAGCCCUUGAAGAGACGAAGAGAAUAAUACCUCACACGACGUCUAACUCGCCAUGGUUUGGUCGAAAAAUGCCUCGAAAGCCACUGAGGUCGCCGAAAACUGGGUAAGAUUCAAAUGAGUAUAACUUCUUUAAUACUCAACGAAAUUGAGUGAAACAAAAGGAAAGUUAUAGUACUCGACGAGACGAAGAGAUUGAUACCUUACAGGCCAGCCAACUCACUGUGGUUUGGCCAAAAAUGGCCUCGAAAGUCUCCAGAGUCGUCGCGGGAGACUUGGGUGUUCUCAGGGUGUCCCGAAGCUUCGUCAAGACGAGGGAGAGAGAGAAGAAGGUUCCAGAGGUGAUGGUGGUGUCCUCUUCGUUGAUGUGGUGUGGAAGUGAUGGUGUGUGGUUUGGUUCACGGGGAGAAUGAGAGAGUGCAGAGAAAGAGCACGGGAGAGUUGGAGAAAAGAAAAGAGAGAGAGAGAGACCGGGGAAACACAGAAAAAACAUUAUAAGGUGGGCCCCACGUGGCUCACCAUUUAAGAACUAAACAAUUUUUAAAAUAUAAAAGGGGUUGGGGUGUUUCAUAUUUAUUAUUUCACACUAAAAUUACAUGUUUGCAAAUUAAUACACCGACUAGUUUAAUACAAUAGAGUUGCCAAAACCAGUGAAAUGAACUUGUAUGUCGUGUUAGUGACUACCGUUGCGUGAAAAAGUGACGACAAGUAGGAAAAAGAACGCGACUAGCCUUAAUUGUUCUGCAAUAAAUGGACAAACAUAUUUCUCGACAUUAUUAUUCCUACUAUGUCAACAUGAAAAUGUGACGUAAGAGAUUAAAUUUGUUAAGAAGCGAAGAAUUGUUGAAGUACAAUACAUUAACUAAAUGAGCGCCCUUUUCUUGGUAAACUCAUUUUAGAACAAAUAUUAUAUCACACCCUACUGCGUAUAGUACAAUACUCAUGCCCCACACGCCCGAAUAUAACAUUGACGAUCUACAAGUUCGUCAAUGUUAAGUUUCAAAUCAUUCAACAAAUGUUCUUGUUUUGGUUAUUCAAACUAAAGAAAAAAAGAUUAAAAAAAAUAUAAAAGAUAUGGAGCUGUGCAAAAUGAACACACUUUUACAAAGUGUAGCAUGUGCAUAACAACUUGAACCAAAAAGCCAAUAAGAGUCAAUCAAGAGUCUUUCAUAAGCCUAUUUCAACCUCGUUUUGUAAACAAUUUGGGCAAUACGUCGUAGUGAAGUUUUCAUCAUUCUAAGCUUGGACCUGGAAUCAAUGAACAUAUGACUGUUACCAAGAAUAUCGCGAUCAUACGAGUAGCCAUAUAGCGGACAAUAGUUCCUUACAUGCUUGAAAUGGGACGACCAACCUAAGUUUCUAGAAAAAUAAGCAUUACACAUCAAUAUGCAGUGUAGCUGCAAUAACUGAAAAUAAUGCAAAGGUAAAGGCCAAACAAAUGUAAAACUGAUCUCUAUUACUUACGAUGUUUCACAAAGUUUUUUCAAUUAGAGUGGUAGUUGUUGUAUUACUAUUGUUCAUUCCUCAAUCAUUCGAAAAUGCUUUACAACUCAAAGCAACAAAGUGAAGUCGUAACAAGACAUCAAAGCAAAUACAUCGAAAUUUUAUUCUUACUCAUAAAACAUCCCACAAAUUUGUUAGCCCUAGUGAAGUUCAAUUCUCAAUUUAAGAUAGCGAAGAAGGAGGUGGGACAGAAGUUGCAAUUAUACAAUGAUUAAAUACUCGGUCAGCCCUAGCUUGAAUGGCAGUUCUGUUCCCGGUGUGUUCAUAAGUAAAGGUGUUAUUCACGAAAACAUUAUGGCACGGUUUUCCCAACGCCACAAGGGCCCGGCAACUAAAGUCACCGAUUUUCUUCUCUUUGAAAAUAUAGUUGUACACGUCGAAUGCGUACUUUAUGCUGAAAUGUUUUUUGCACUCAACCACUGCCGGCGAGUCAUCCAAAUGCGCCAAUGUUGGAAGUGCGCAAUUCGCCAAAAGCAAAAUGACCAUAAUUGGAAACAUGUUUAGUCCGGCCAUAUUGAUGGAAAUAAUGAGUGACUUUUGAUUUUCUUAGAAAAUGAUCCCUUAGAUGCAGUUGAACUCUAGUGCAAGGAGUUCUAUACUUAUAAGGGAUGAGGCAAAGGUGAGAGUCAUUCGUAAAAUAAAAAACGCAUUUUCCUUUAAAACUACUUUACCAACGUAUUUGCUGAUGUAAGGUAUCAAAUACGAGGGUUUCUAAUUUGGUAUUUAUUUUUCGUAACGUAAACUCAACUUACAAGUACCCAUAAAUUGUUUAAUUAAUCUCAACAAUCACCUAGCUAUUUAUUAUUGCACACUAAAAUUACAUGUUUGCAAAUUAAUACACCGACUAGUUUAAUACCAUAGAGUUGCGAAAACUGGUGAACUGAACUUGUAUGUCGUGUUAGUGACUACCGUUGCGUGAAAAAGUGAAGACAAGCAGGAAAAAGAACGCGACUAGCCUUAAUUGUUCUGCAAUAAAUGGACAAACAUAUUUCUCGACUUUAUUAUUCCUACUAUGUCAAAAUGAAAAUGUAACGUAAGAGAUUAAAUUUGUUAAGAAGCAAAUAAUUAUUGAAGUACAAUACAUUAACUAAAUGAGCACCCUUUUCUUGGUAAACUCAUUUUAGAAAAAAUAUUAUAUCACACCCUACUGCGUAUAGUACAAUACUCAUGCCCCACACGCCCGGAUAUAACGUUGACGAUCUACAGUUGCGUCAAUGUUAAGUUUCAAAUCAUUCAACAAAUGUUCUUGGUUUGGUUGUUCAGACUAAAGAAAAAAGAUUAAAAAAAUAUAAAAGAUACGGAGCUGUGCAAAAUGAACACACUUUUACAAAGUGUAGCAUGUGCAUAACAACUUGAACCAAAAGGCCAAUAAGAGUCAAUCAAGAGUCUUUCAUAAGCCUAUUUCAACCUCGUUUUGUAAACAAUUUGGGCAAUACGUCGUAGUGAAGUUUUCAUCAUUCUAAGCUUGGACCCAAAAACAAUGAACGUGUGACUGUUACCAAGAAUAUCGCGAUCAUACGAGUAGCCAUAUAGCGGACAAUAGUUCCGUACAUGCUUGAAAUGGGACGACCAACCUAAGUUUCUAGAAAAAUAAGCAUUACACAUCAAUAUGCAGUGUAGCUGCAAUAACCGAAAAUAAUGCAAAGGUAAAGGCCAAACAAAUGUAAAACUGAUCUCUAUUACUUACGAUGUUUCACAAAGUUUUUUAAAUUGGAGUGGUAGUUGUUUUAUUGCUAUUGUUCAUUCCUCAAUCAUUUGAAAAUGCUUUACAACUCAAAGCAACAAAGUGAAGUCGUAACAAGGCAUCAAAGCAAAUACAUCUAAAUUUUAUUCUUACUCAUGAAACAUCCCACAAAUUUGUUAGCCCUAGUGAAGUUCAAUUCUCAAUUUAAGAUAGCGAAGAAGGAGGUGGGACAGAAGUUGCAAUUAUACAAUGAUUAAAUACUCGGUCAGCCCUAGCUUGAAUGGCAGUUCUGUUCCCGGUGUGUUCAUAAGUAAAGGUGUUAUUCACGAAAACAUUAUGGCACGGUUUUCCCAGCGCCACAAGGGCCCGGCAACUAAAGUCACCGAUUUUCUUCCCUUUGAAAAUAUAGUUGUACACGUCGAAUGCGUACUUUAUGCUGAAAUGUUUUUUGCACUCAACCACUGCCGGCGAGUCAUCCAAAUGCGCCAAUGUUGUAAGUGCGCAAUUCGCAAAAAGAAAAAUGACUAUAAUUGGAAACAUGUUUAGUCCAACCAUAAUGAUGGAAAUAAUGAGUAACUUUUGAUUUUCUUAGAAAAUGAUCCCUUAGAUGCAGUUGAACUCUGGUGCAAGGAGUUAUAUACUUAUAAAGGAUGAGGCAAAGGUGAGGGUCAUUUGUAAAUUGAAAAACGCAUUUUCCUUUAAAGCUACUUUAGCAACGUAUUUGCUGAUGUGAGGUAUGAAAUACGAGGGUUUCUAAUUUGGUAUUUAUUUUCGUAACGCUAAAAUUACAUGUUUGCAAAUUAAUACACCAAAUAGUUUAGUACAAUAGAGUUGCAAAAACCAUGAACUGAACUUACAUGUCGUGUUAGUGACAAUCAUUUUGUGAAAAAGUAACGACAAUCAGGAAAAAGAACACGACUCGCCUUAAUUGUGCUGCAAUAAAUGGACAAACAUAUUUAUCAAGCAUUAUUAUUCCUAUUAUAACAAAAUGAAAAUGUGACGUAAGAGAUUAAAUUUGUUAAGAAGUGAAGAAUUGUUGAAGUACAAUACAUUAACUAAAUGAGCACCCCUUUCUUGGUAAACUCAUUUUAGAACAAAUAUUAUAUCACACCCUACUGCAUAUGGUACAAUACUCAUGCCCCACACGCCCGGAUAUAUCGUUAACGAUAUGCAGUUGCGUCAAUGUUAAGUUUCAAAUCAUUCAACAAAUGUUCUUGUUUUGGUUACUCAAACUAAAGAAAAAAAGAUAAAUAUAUAUAUAAAAGAUACGGAUGUGUGCAAAAUGAACACACUUUUACAAAGUGUAGCAUGUGUAUAACAACUUGAACUAAAAGGCCAACAUGAGUCAAUCAAGAGUCUUUCAUAAGCCUAUUUCAACAUCGUUUUUUAAAAAAUUUGGGCAAUACGUCGUAGUGAAGUUUUCAUCUUUCUAAGCUUGGAUCCGAAAACAAUGAACGUAUGACUGUUACCAAGAAUAUCGCGAUCAUACGAGUAGCCAUAUAGCGGACAAUAGUUCCGUACAUGCUUGAGAUGGGACGAGCAACCUAAGUUUCUAGAAAAAUAAGCAUUACACAUCAAUAUGCAGUGUAGCUGCAAUAACCGAAAAUAAUGCAAAGGUAAAGGCCAAACAAAUGUAAAACUGAUUUCUAUUACUUCCGAUGUUUCACGAAAUUUUUUAAAUUGGAGUGGUAGUUGUUUUAUUACUAUUGUUCAUUCCUCAAUCAUUUGAAAAUGCUUUACAACUCAAAGCAACAAAGUGAAGUCGUAACAAGGCAUCAAAGCAAAUACAUCAAUAUUUUAUUCUUACUCAUGAAACAUCCCACAAAUUUGUUAGCCCUAGUGAAGUUCAAUUCUCAAUUUAAGAUAGCGAAGAAGGAGGUGGGACAGAAGUUACAAUUAUACAAUGAUUAAAUACUCGAUCAGCCCUAGCUUGAAUGGCAGUUCUAUUCCCGAUGUGUUCAUAAGUAAAGGUGCUAUUCACGAAAACAUUAUGGCACGAUCUUCCCAGCGCCACGAGGGCCCGGCAACUAAAGUCACCGAUUUUCUUCCCUUUGAAAAUAUAGUUGUACACGUCGAAUGCGUACUUUAUGCUGAAAUGUUUUUUGCACUCAACCACUGCCGGCGAGUCAUCCAAAUGCGCCAAUGUUGGAAGUGCGCAAUUCACAAAAAGCAAAAUGACCAUAAUUGGAAACAUGUUUAGUCCGGCCAUAAUGAUGCAAAUAAUGAGUAACUUUUGAUUUUCUUAGAAAAUGAUCCCUUAGAUGCAGUUGAACUUUGGUGCAAGGAGUUAUAUACUUAUAAAGGAUGAGGCAAAGGUGAGAGUCAUUUGUAAAAUGAAAAACGCAUUUUCCUUUAAAACUACUUUAGGAACGUAUUUACUGAUGUGAGAUAUCAAAUACGAGGGUUUCUAAUUUGGUAUUUAUUUUUGUACCAUAAAUGCAACUUACAAGUUCCCUUAAAAUGUUUAAUUAAUCUUAACAAUCACAUAACUAUUUAUUAUUUCGCACAAAUAUUUUUUGUCUGCAAAUUAAUUCACUGACUAGUUUAUUACAAUAGGGUUGCAAAAGCCAUGAACAAAACUUACAUGUUGUGUUAGUGACUAUUAUUGCGUGAAAAAUUAACGACAAUCUGGAAAAAGAACACGACUAGCCUUAAUUGUUCUGCAGUAAAUGAAGAAACGUAUUUAUCGAGCAUUAUUAUUCCUAUUAUAGCAAGAUGAAAAUGAAAAUAUCGUAUUGUCUAAUAAUCGAAGUAUAAAGUUUUGAAGUGUUUGAGAGAGAGUAGAUUUGUUGCUCAAUCUAAAAGAACGUCAAUGUGUUUGGAUCCACAUAUAUCUGACUGUAUGCAGCUAAUUUCUUCAACCCCAUUUGUCUCAUUUCAUCACGAACCUUAUUAGCCUCAUCCCACCGUUCGUGAGUGGUGUAUGUAUUCGAUACGAGAGCAUAAGUUCCGAUGCCUACUCCUCUACUCUUGAGGAGACCAUUUCUGAUCCUCUUAAGUAUCUUCUCAUUCCCAUGAAUUUUGCAUGCAUUAAGCAACGCUCCCCAAACAACGCCGUCUACUUCUGUUGGCAUUUCCUUCAUGAAAUUCUCUGCUUCCUCUAAGAACCCUGCUCGACCAUACAUAUCAACUAGGCAGGCGUAGUGCAGUGUUUGAGGGGCAAUCCGAUAAACAUUUUUAAUAGCAUUGAAAAUCAUUAACCCUUGAUCAACUAGACAUGCGUGACUACAUGCUGAUAACAAGCCAAGGAAGGUUACAUCAUCAAGAGGAAUCCCGUGGACUAGCAUGAGCGAAAAAAGCUGCAACGUGUGUAUACCAUAACCAUUCAUGGCCAUGCCGCUUAUGAGGGUACUCCACGAAAUGUGAUCCUUGCAAACCAGGGUUUUAAAAACCGAAACUGCCAUACCUACUUCCCCAUACUUUACAUACAUGUUUAUUAAUGCAUUUCCCAGAAUGCCAUUCAACACGAGAUCUGGCCGUGCACUUAUAUACGAAUUCACCCACUGGCCUAAACUCAAUGCCCCAAUCGAAGAACACGCUGACAAUACAUUUACAAUGGUAUCCUUAUUAGGCUCAACUUCCUCUCCCUGAACCAUCUCCUGAAAAAGCUUCACUGCCUCGUCACAAAAUCCUCUUUGUGCAUAACCACCCACCUAGUCCAAGAAUACACAUCUCUCUUGAGCAUAUUUACAAACAGGUACCGUGCACUCACCAAAGACCCACAUCUCAUGUAAAAAUCCAACACUGCAUUGUCCAAAAUAACAUUCCUUUCAGAUAACUUCCUCAUACAAUAUCCAUGAACAGAUUUACCAAACUUUAAAGCUCCUAAACUCGAACAAGCGGACAUGACAAUGACAAGAGUAGUAGAAUUAGGCGGCACAUCCAUGCACAUAAACUUAACAAUUGCUUCCUCCACAAAUCUACACUUGUUAAGACCCGAAAUCAUCGAAGUCCACGAAACAACAUCAAGGUUUGGUAUGGAAUCGAAAACCCGGGUAGCAGAUACAAUGUCAGCUUGGGUUACGUAGAAGUGAAGCAACGAGUUUUGGAUGAAGGUAUCGGAAAAGUGCCCGGUUUUUACGACGCGGGCAUGGACUUCCCGGCCCUUGUUGUUAUCAUGGAGGAAGCAACAUGCCUUGAGAGCGUAAGUGAAGGUGUAGUGGUUGUGGGAGGUUGGGUAGUAGAGCAUUUGGUUGUAGAGGAAAAGGGCAGUUUGUGGGGCGAGGGAGUUUGUGAGAUGUCCCAGUUGUUCGUGACUAGAAUUUCUGUUGGGGAUGUUUCCUAGCCGACGAGCACACAGCUCCCCGAGAGGUUGGCGCCGGUUGAUGUUUUAUGUCGGGCUUCUGCUUCAUUGGCGGGCUUGUCGGGCAUAGCUUAUCAGGCAAGGCUGAAAGAGAAUGACAGAGUUAACUUUGAAAGGUGCUCACAAUCAAGAUUAACUUUUAAGUGCUCAGGCGUGCCACUGCCAUCUUCAGCAUGGCAGAUGUAAAACGGAUGUUGAGUUUUAGUUGUAUAUAUACCCGAGAAACUGUUUUAGUUAUGAAAAAUGCCUUUAUGGGGUCUUAGGUGUAGGCCUUGAGGCUUCCAAUCAAGAACUAACACAGUACUUGAAUAUAUAAUGUUUUGUUUCAUUGAUUACAGAAGUAUUAUGAUUAUUAUACUUCUGAUUACCCGAGCCCAACAAGCAGAAAGAAUCCAAAUAGGUGCCUUUGUAGGGCCUUAGGUGUAGGCCUUAAGGCUUCCCAUCAGAAUUCCUUCUAUUCUCAAACGUUAUUCGAUAAUCAUAAUAUAAUAGAAAUAACACUAAAGGAUAGGUCGAUUACUUGCGCCCCAAGUAACUUCGGACUUCUUGUUUAUCAAAGACUGUCGUGGAUGGGUUAAGUCCACAUAAGGUUCUUUUUUAUGCCUUGAGACCAAGGACUUUUAAAUGAUCAAUCUUACAUGCCCGAGGGCUUAGAACUUAGAUCUGAUUUAAUCUGUGAAGACAUAUUUAAAUCGGAUUCAAGAACUGAGGAGCCUUUUUAAUCAUCAACUUGCCAGAAAUAACUUGGAUACAACUGGAAGUAUACAACAUAUUGCUAAACUACUGAAUGAAAAGACAAAAAUAAAGAAGGUCGGGCAAGGCUGAUCAUCUUGCAACUUCCUAUCUUUGUGGUUUAUCAAGGAGUUUGAGAGCUUUAGAAAGAGGGGUAGGGAGAUGGGUUUACCGAAGGAAAUCGAUACUACAGCAAGUUUUAGACAAGGUAGCAGAGCUAUUACAAAGGCUUUGGGUGAGGGUUGAUCCCGAAAGGGAUGAAGGCUUGGGCUGACUACAGCUUCGUUGAAAGCAAAUCUGGUUUGAGCAGAGUUUGUGCUUGUAUUUGUUUGUUUGAUUGAGUGUCCUUAUCUCUGAUUUCUCUUUCUUCUUUUAUAGACACUUUGGCUUGGCCUCCUGUAGCAGUGAUCUUGCCCGAAUGCAACUUGAAGGGCAAUGACUCAUCAGCUUUUUACUUGUACUGCCACUGUAAAGUGCUUUUGGGCUGAUUAGCUGGCUGGUCUACACCACUUGACCUCUAAGUAUGUGAGCAAGUGGUUCAAAUGGUCUGCACCUAGUCAGAAAAGGGUCUCUCCUGCUUUCUGGGCUUUGGCUGGGCUUCGGGCUUUUCUCCUUCUAGACUUCUUUCUUUUGGGCCAACUCCUUCUUGAGCCCAAAGUUCAAGUUUUAACCCAAACACCAGUAGAGGGUUUAAAAGUUAGGGUUUAGGGUUUUUGAUGAUUUGCUUUAAUUGUCGUUUCAUUGUACAUUUUGACGAAAAUGUAUACACAGUAGGUGUUGGAAUUGCUGGGCAUUCAUCUUUUUCUUGAAGAGAAAUCGGACAUCUAAAACAAUUAUGGGCAGCAGAAGGGUGGGAAUUGGGGUUGCGUAGAGGAAGGGAGGCGGAGGUAGGAGGGGGAUCCGUAUGUCGGGGUUGGUACAUGCGAUAUGGGGUGGGUACAGGGCUGUUCCAAAUAUUCUUAAUACUAAACAGGGUGGGGCGGGGCAGGUCCAAAUAUAUGAGCAAAAGGGUGCCCGACCUAGACCUUUUCCACCAGUCUAAUAUAUGAGAUUAAAUCUCUACCCUUGGUUCUAAUCUAAAGGGCAAACACUCUUGACUCUCUGUUUGUUCCUCCUUAGUUCAUUCUCUCGAACUUGAAGCUUCAACUGACUUCGACUCUCGGUUUCUCACUCAGACACAAAUUCACAGAAUGUCGUCAAUCGAUCAUCGAACUCCGUCCUUUCGUUCGAGCAAUAAGGGGGACAAGGAUUGUCUGCCCUCUUUGUUCCCGUGCCCUCUUGUUUUAUGUGGUCACGGUUAAGUCAUUUCAACAUUUUAUAUUGUUUUUUUAUAAAGAUAAUAAGAUAAAAAUGACUAGUAAUAUAAAAUGUUGACGUGGCUUAACCGUGACCACACAAACAGGAUGGCAUGAGAGGGCACGGGAACAAGGAGGGCAGACAAUCUUUGUCCUUGUUAGUAUUGUCCUUGUUCUGUGGGUUUUCAAAUUCCAUUUAAAUUUAUUGACUCUGAUUAGGAUUGGGAGUCUUUAAUCCCAACCCUCUGCGCCAAACAUAGAUCUUGAUCAAAUUUCCCAAUUGGAUUAGACUAUUUCCUUAAUUGUAUAUUGAAUCAACACUUUUUAAACAUGAAAAUGAGAGACAAAAGUUAAUACAUGUGAAAUAUAACAUCAUUACCUUCUUUCUUUUUUUUCUCUGGAGUGUAUGUUACAAAAUUACCCUUUAUAGUAGAAACGUUUUUUCACACUGUUAUCUCUUCAUCUAUUACUCUGUGUCAAGUGGUGUUCCCUACCAAUAGACUUUUGACAUCUAAAUCUUCUUUUAUCCCUUUUUAAUCAAAUAAAUUCUUAAAAGCUGGAAGUCCAAUAGUCAAACAAAAACUAAGGGAUGUGAACUUCCCCAUCAAGCACUUCUGCAACUUGCUUUCGAAUUCCAUCAUAUUUCCUACUCGAUUUCGAAUUCAAUCUUGUUUGCCCAACACUUACCCUCCACUUUUGAAUUGAAAACCGUAGUCUAAAAAGAGAGUAAAAAAUAACGAAAGUUAACUUCUAAAUCCCAAAGCACGCCGUGCCCAAACCCGAUUAUCUCUCUUUCUCAUGUUUUCAUUUUCUGGGUGUUGGUAAAUUUUGUGAUGAUUUCUAAAUUAGUGAAAAGAUUUACAGAAUGAGUAAUUGGUAAUGGCGGUAAGAGUUGACGGUGGAAGUACAACUACGUUAAAUUAAUUGGUUUUCCGUCGACGAUUCAGCAUCUCAAUUUUUAAGAAUUAAAGAUAUAAAAGAAUAUUUAGAUGUCAAAUUUCAAUUGGUGGGAACACCACCUGGCUUUUGUGCCGGGAACCCCAAAAUAUUUCUCCACAGUGAGCUCGCGUUUCUACCUUCAGUUGAAUCGAUAUUAAUGUUAUUGAUAAAUGGUUUUGGUUUGGGGUGCUAUUUAGGCAAUAAGCAUUGCUAAGAGAUCCAAUAAAUGGUGUGGGUUUAUAGUCAUAAUUUUAAAGAAACUUUGGUUGAACUGAUUCUGCAAAAAUUGUCGUAGACAAGUUGAAAUAAUUCUACAAAAAUGGUCAAUGAUGGGUUGAACUGAUUCUGCAAAAAUGGUUGAGACUUAUUGAACUGAUUCUGCAAAAAAUGGUCGAUGACAGGUUGAACGGAUUCUGAAAAAUGUUCGAGGACGGGUUGAACUAAUUCUGCAAUAAUUAUCGAAGACGGGUUGAACUGAUUCUGCAAAAAUGGUCAAGGAUGAGUUGAACUGAUUCUGCAAUAUGGUGGGUUUAAUUUAUUCUACAAAAAUGACCGAGGACUGAUUGAACUGAUUCUGCAAAAAUGGUCGAUGACUGAUUAAACUGAUUCUGCAAAAAAAUGUCGAGAACCGGUUGAACUAAUUCCACAAAAAUGGUCGAACGGGUUGAACUGAUUUUGCAAAAAGGUGGAUUGAAUUGAUUAUGCAAAAAGGAUCGAUGAGUGAUUGAACUGAUUCUGCAAAAAAGGUCGGGGACGUGUUGAACUGAUUAUGCAAAAAUAGUCAAAGACGGGUUGAACUAAUUUUGUGAAAAUGGUCGAAGACUGAUUGAAUUGAUUAUGCAGAAAUAAUCGAGGAUGGGUUGAGCUUAUGGUACAUAUUAAUUUUGUUGGAGUUGUGAAGGUUGGUUUCUAUAACAGCCCUAAAGCCUUAGGGGUAUAACUGGUAUUUUAGAACAUUGUUUCCAUGUUUUUAGGCUGGACUUUAGUUGUUUUUAUGUUUUUGUCUCUCAUUGACAUGUUUAAAAACUAGUGGAGUUCCUUGAAAUAUAGUGAAUUUUUUUGUCUCUAUAUAUAAAGCUCCUAGUCCUUGGUGUUUUACCAACCAAUCACCCAGCUACCCUAUACUUGACAUAAAAAAAAGGGAAAUACCUCAAAAUAGGACAAUUUCAUAAUCUUGGAACAGAAAUAUGAUUUUUUUGAAUGUGCAUACAGCAUGCACACGCUAGGUCUGGCAAACAGGUCGGGUUUGUCCUGUCGUGUUUGUGUAAAACUUGUUAUCUUGACAAAUCAUGUCGUCUUACACCCAUUAUCUUAACGUGUUAUUAACACGUCGAGUCACUUUACCCAACAAGUAAAUUGACCCGACCUGUUAUGACCGGUUAAGAAAAAUAAUUUUUUUCCUUAAAUUUGCACAUACCAAAUUCCCACAUAAAUAUUACUUCAAAGCAUAAAAGCACAUUUAUCGUUAAGUACUACAUCUACACUCCAAAAUAAGAGCUUAAUAAAAAGGCACCAAUACACUACUAGUCUAAUACAAAAUAUCAAAUGUGCAACGAUAUGCAAAAUGAAUGAGUUUUUCUUUUCAAAGUUGCGAAGCCUUUCUCAAAAGUUAAAACCUUACCAAUGAAACUCAAAGCUUGCAUGUUAUUCAUUUUACAAAAUCCUUCAAUUUCAUCAAUCACCAUGGGGAAAUUGUAUUGGAACUUUGGCUUGAUCUAUUGCCUUCAAGAGUUACAUUGAUAAUGUUUUCAGUAAAGUUUUCCACAUCAAAACUCUCUUUCUCAUAAACUAAGUAUAGAAAAACCAAACAUUAUAAACCAUUCAAAUUAUGAGAAUUUUACCAAAAUAAUUAUGAAAAGAAAUAAAACAAUAAUACUAUACCAUAUAAAAAUAUAUUACCUCAUUCUUUCAAAAUUUUCUAAAAUUUAAUUUAAUAUAUAAAUAAAUAUAAAUAUAUAUAUAUAUAUUAUAAUAGUAUAUUUUUCUCUGUUCAUCUGAUUUAUAAGGAGUUAGUUAUAUUAGGGUUUAACUUUAUUCUUCAGUGUGUCAUAUGUAUUGGAUGAAUAUGGUUUUCGUAUGCACCCGUAAUUUGCAGUGUGGUUUAUCUAAUAUUUUCAAUGCCAACAAAAGGGUUCCACUUCGUUAGACGCGGAAACGAACACAAGAGGCACGUUUGAAUUGAUCUCUUCCCUCCUACUAUCUACAUAUUUAUCUCUCUCUUUUCUUUUUCGUUUGAAAGAUGUAUAUAAUUCAAGUGGUAGAUUAAUCCGAUAACUUACUAUUAUUCUUUUCAUCGUUUUUUUAUUGUUUCAAACUGAAAACCGAUACGGUGAAGAAAUUUUGAUUUUCAACUGCAGUUUUGUAUCCAAAAUUCCAAAAAUGGUGAAUCCAAUAUUGGCCAAGAUGAUCAAACUUGCUGGCCAAGUCACAAAGGGUUUGGACAAGGGCUUUAAGAACUACCAGCACUACAAUAUUAGUUUUAGGUGACAAAUGAUGGUGGUGGAUAUUAGAAAAAUCAUGUCGGAUAAAUUAUAUCCGACACAUCAUUUAAUUAGUGAUGGAUAUUAGAAAAAUAAUGUCGGUUAUAACCAACAGUAUUUUUGAAUCCUUUUUUAAAAAUAUUUUUGACAUAUUCUGUCGGUUUUUAAGUUAAUGGUGGCAGUUAUAACCGACAGAAAUUGACUAUUUUAUUAUUUUACUUUCUGGCGGUUAUUAUUUUAGUAUUCUGGAGGUUAUAACUGACAGAAAUUAAAAUUUUAUUAUUUUAAAAUGUUAUAUUAAUUAAAAAUAAAUAAAUAAACACGUAUUUUAAAUAUUGUUUUUGUCACUCAUGACCCUAAAGUCUAAUGAACCAAUUUCCCAAGAGCCAUAAAUUUUCUGAGAGAAUAAUAACAACAGACUACAAUCUGAAGCUCUAUCAUUUUUGUAAUAAGGAUUAUGCUCCCUCACAAGCAAGCAACAAGAUACAAAGAAAUUCAAACAAUUUUUUUCAAUGCGUCACAAAGCACAUUGUCUGGCACAUAAACACACAUGAACAUUUGGUGUACUCUAUCAUGUCUGAUUUUAUUAUUUUAAAAUGUUAUACUGAUUAAAAAUAAAUAAAUAAACAUAUGUUUUAAAUAUUUGUUUUUCACUCAUGGUCCUAUCGGAUAAACCGACACAAACAAAGCAAAAUUUUGGACAGCCACCAGAAUAAUCUCUGAAUGUUUUUUUUUUUUUUUUUGCGAUUUUUUACACAUGCUAUCUCCGAGUAUAUACAAACAUAUUUGAUGGUUGAAUCGUUGAAACUAGUUUCGUAGAAUGCAUAUCAUAUCAAAUUGAUAGAUUUAACAAACACUUAAGAGUUAAUGUUAUACUUCCAUUUAAUGUUAUACUUCCAUUAAGUAUAAAAUUAUUGUAAAUAUUUUAAAUUGAAGAUCGAAUUCAUUCAUUGCACUCUUAUAUGGUCGAAGAGUGUAGCUGUAAAAAAUCAUCAAAAUUGGAGCUAAAAUAACCGUUAAAUUGUGAUUUUUCGUUUAUAACCAUCGAAAACUUUUGUUCCGUAACCUAAUCUCUGAAUGUUGUUUUUUGUGAUUUUUUACGUAUGCAAUCUCGGAGUGUGUAUAAACAAGUUUGAUGGUGGAUCGUUGAAAAACGUUUCGUAGAAUGUGUAUCGUAUCAAAACAAUAUAUUAAACAAACACUUAGAGUUAAUGUUAUACUUCCCUAUCAAGUAUAAAAUAAGAUUUUGUAGUAUCCAAUGGUGUAAAUAUUUUAAAUUGAAGAUCAAAUUCAUUCAAUGCAUUCUUAUAGGGACGAGGAGUGUAGCUGUAAAAAAUCAUCAAAAUCGGAGCUAAAGUAACCGUUAAAUUGUGAUUUUUUAUUUAUAACUGUUGAAAACUUUUGUUUUGUUACCUAAUCUCUGAAUGUUUGUUUUUUGUGAUCUUUUACGUAUGCGAUAUCGGAGUGUGUACAAAUAAGUUUGACGGUUAGAUCAUUGAAAAAAGUUUAGUAGAAUGUGUAUGGCAUCAAAACGGUAGAUUAAAUAAACACUUAAGAAUUAAUGUUAUACUUCAUUUAAGUAUAAAAUAAGAUUUUGUGGUAUCCAUUAGUGUAAAUAUUUUAAAUUGAAAUCAAAUUUAUUCAUUGCAUUCUAUAGGGUCGAGGAGUGUAGCUGUAAAAAAUCAUUAAAAUCGAAGCUAAAAUAACCGUUAAAUUGUGAUUUUUCGUUUAUAACCGUCGAAAACUUUUGUUCCGUUACCUAAUCUCUGAAUGUUUAUUUAUUACGAGUUUUUACGUAUGCAAUCUUGGAGUGUGUACAAAUAAGUUUGACGGUUUGAUCGUUGAAAAAAGUUUCAUAGAAUGCAUAUCGCGUUAAAAUGGUAGAUUAAACAAACACUUAGAGUUAAUAUUAUACUUCCAUUAAGUAUAAAAUAAGAGUUCGUGGUAUCCACUAGUGUAAAUAUUUUAAAUUGAAGAUCAAAUUCGUUCAUUGCAUUCUUAUAGGGUAGAGGAGUGUAGCUAUAAAAAAAAUCAUCAAAACCGGAGCUAAAAUAACCGUUAAAUUGUGAUUUUUCAUUUAUAACCGUAAAAAACUUUUGUUCCGUUGCCUAAUCUCUUAAUGUUUUUUUUUUCUUCAAUUUUUUACGUAUGCAAUCUUAUAGUAUCUACAAACAAGUUUGAUAGUUAGAUCAUUGAAACUAGUUUCAUAGAAUGCAUAUCUCCGUUAAAUUUGCCUAAAUUUUGAAGUGAGAAAAGCAGUUUGUGCUAAAUUUUUAUUUAUGUUUUUCAAGUAUUGAUUAGACAAUAUUUAGUUUGUGUGAUGACAUUUUCAUUGUACAAUUAUCUUUUUGUUUCUUUGUUGCAUAUUUUACAUGGAUUAUUAUCUAUUAAACCAAACAAUUAUUUAUUUAAUUUUUAAAAACGUAUUCUAUAUAAAUACAUUUUAUUUAUUUAUUUAUUAAAUUAAACAACUAUUAUUUUAUUUUUUUAAAUCGUAACAAAAUUUUUGGGGGGGGGGGGAAUUUAAAAUUUUGGGGGGAUUUUUUCUUUGUUGCAUAUUUUACAUGGAUUAUUAUCUAUUAAACCAAACAAUUAUUUAUUUAAUUUUUAAAAACGUAUUCUAUAUAAAUACAGUUUAUUUAUUUAUUUAUUAAAUUAAACAAUUAUUAUUUUAUUUUUUAAAAUCGUAACAAAAUUUGGGGGGGAUUUUUGCCACCAUUUUUUUCUGUCGGUUUAUACUUUAAAAAAUGUUCUGUCGGUUUUCACCGACAAUAAUGAAAUCCAAGGGAUCCAAAUGGGCUCGUCUUCUAACACGUGACCUCAUUUUGGCUAACAAGCAUCCAAACGCCAAAUUCUCUUUCCCUGCUAUCAUAGCUCCCGACUGAGCAAGCAACCAUGGACGUUCUCUCAAUCUCAUCACCUACAUUCAUCCCCACCCCAACCUCCAAGCUCUCUCACUCCUCCCGCCCUAAACCCACCUCAUAUUUUCCCACUUCUUGUUGAAAAGUCAAUGAUAUCAAGAUGCCUGAUAUUUUGGUUUAGAAUAGGAAACAAAGUCUGUAAUUGAUUUGUACAAAAUCUUCCUUUUUUGUAUAGCUUGAUUGUAGGCUAGGCUAAUUCUCUUCCAAGAGAAUGAGUCUGUAUAAAUGGCCUUUUGUAUCUUUGUUGAAUAUUAAUUGAAUUUCAGCCGAAUAUAUUUUUACAUGGUAUCAAGAGCUAGGCCAAAACCCUAGUUCUAUUUUCUUCUGCUGUUAUUUCUCUUUGCCGCUGUUCAUCACAAGCAACGUGUUUUUUUAUUUCCAUUGAUAUUAGCAAUGGCCGAUGAUCGAACUUCGAGCGAAAGCAAGCCUGAUGCUUCCAAUCCACUGUUCAUUCAUCAUUCAGACCACCCAGCUAUGGUGCUGGUCUCGAAACCCCUUAAUGGGGACAACUAUUCCACCUGGUCCUGAGCCAUGAAGAUUUCCUUGAGUGCUAAAACCAAGAUUGGUUUUGUUGAUGGCACUGUUCCACAACCGUCAGCAAAAACCCAGCCGAACAAUCAUGCUGCAUGGAAGAGAUGCAACGACAUGAUUGUUGCCUGGAUCAUCAACUCAAUCGAUUCAGAUAUUUCAGACAGCAUUCUCUACAUGACUAGCGCUCAUGAGAUUUGGGACGAAUUGGAAGAGCGCUACUCCCAAAGUAAUGCCCCUCGGAUUUUUCAAUUGCAACGGGAUAUUUCGUGUCUUUCUCAAGAUCAACUCUCUAUUGUAGCCUAUUAUACCAAGUUGAAGAGUCUGUGGGACGAGUUGUCUUUUUACAGUGAUUCAUCCUCAUGCACAUGCGGUGCUCAAAAUUAAAGGAACAGGUUGAUGCAGUUCCUUAUGGGACUCAAUUAUUCAUAUAGUGUUGUUCGAGGACAAAUCCUCUUGAUGAAUCCCUUGCCUACUGUACGUCAAGCUUACUCCUCAAUCUCACAAGAAGAGAAACAACGCUCUUUGAGCCUUUCUCGCACCACCACUGCAACAGCAGCCAUGGCAGUUCGCCAGGGCCACCAUUCCAAGUCCUCAGGUUCUUCCACUCGCAAACCCAUGCAUUGUAUACAUUGCGAUCAAGAUUACCACACUAUUGAUACUUGCUAUCAGUUGCAUGGGUACCCACCUGGGCAUCGUCUUCAUAAAACCAACAAAUUCAAUCCACGUGGUGGGAAUCGCCCCAAGCGAGACACCGGCUCUUCGUCAGCCAACAUAGUUUCCUCAGAAGGACCUUCUGUGCAAGAAAUGCAGUCCGUGAUGUCAGGUUUAUCAGAUUCUCAAUUUCAACAAAUUCUCAGUAUCAUGAAUGGGAAAGAUAUAUUCGCUGCCCCUCAAGCCAAUGCUACCAACCCUACCAAAGGUUUGUCAAAAAAUCCUUCACAUCUCCAUCGAUGGAUUAUCGAUAAUGGUGCGACGGACCAUAUCACCUCCUCACCGAAACUGCUCACUAAUAGUGUGAAAAAUGAUCAUAUGCUGCCAGUUUUAUUGCCAAGUGGAGAACAAGCACCUAUUGCAUUAACUGGAGAUUUACCUUUGAAUUCUACCUUUUUACUACGAGAUGUGUUGUGUAUGCCUACUUUUAAUGUAGAUUUGAUGUCAGUGAGUCGAAUUACUGGAGGAUUAAAUUGUUCCGUCACCUUUUUUCCCACUUGGUGUAUUUUGCAGGACCUGACCACGAAGAGAACGAUUGGUUUAGGUAAGCAACGAGGAGGACUUUACUAUUUGGUGGUGUUGGCUCCUGUCCAAGAUGGCACUUCGAGACGUUUCUGCAACAUGGUCCUAUCACCUACAGAGUUGUGGCAUCGCCGUUUAGGUCAUUUGUCAUCAUCUAGAUUAGAUUUCAUGUCCAAAACUAUGUUACAUUUUCCUUUUCAGUCUAAUAAUGCUUGCGAUGUUUGUCCAUUAGCCAAGCAAAGUCGUUUACCUUUUGGUGUUAGUACCAUUGCAACCCAGAAACCUUUUGCUUUAAUUCAUUGUGAUAUUUGGGGUCCUUAUAAAAUUGCCUCCACUUGUGGAGCCAAAUAUUUUUUGACCAUAGUAGAUGAUUAUUCUCGUUUCACAUAGAUCUUUCUUAUGCACCACAAAAAUGAGACUCAACACCUCCUUAAGAAUUUUUUCUCUUAUGUUCGUACUCAAUUUGAUACACUUGUUUGUCAAAUCCGUGUCGACAAUGGAGGUGAUUUUUUCUCCCUUCGUGAUUUUUUCCAAGAACACGGUGUCGUAUACCAACACUCUUGCGUUUAUACGCCCCAACAAAAUGGGGUUGUAGAACGCAAGCAUCGUCACAUCCUUGAAACAGCCCGUAGUUUGCGUUUCCAAGCCAACCUACCACUUCAUUUUUGGGGUGAAUGUGUGCUCACGGCCGUUCACCUUAUUAAUCGUCUCCCUACCAAAAUUCUUUCCAACACUACACCUUUUGAACGUCUCUAUUCCAAAUCACCUACCUAUUCCCACUUACGAGUCUUUGGAUGUCUUGCCUAUGCCACAAAUACUCACAUUUCUCAUAAGUUUGCUCCCCGUGCUCAUAAGUGUGUUUUUCUAGGGUAUCCAGUUGGUCAAAAGGCCUAUAAGCUCUACGACCUCACCACCCAUAAGUUUUUUACCAGUCGUGAUGUCAUUUUCCAAGAGCAUAUUUUUCCUUACCAACAUCACUCCAUAUCCGAUGACCAACUUCCCCUUCCCGGACCUGUCUUACCUCAACCCCUUCCUGACUACACUGUUCUCUCUGCGUCCCCUUCCGCACCCACAUUUCCUCCCGUGUCACCUGUUGAGUCUUCUCCUUAUCCACCUCCCGCAUCCAAUGCUCCACCUCUCUCUGUCCCUGCUACUGCCAUAACAGCGCUCCCAGCGCCCGUGCCCCCAGAAUCUUCCAUGCCCGUGCUUCGCCGCUCUGACCGUCGCUCAGCUCCUCCAACUCGCUUCAGUGAUUAUGUUUGCCCUACUUUGCCUUCUACCCAACCAAUCGAUUCGUCCUCUUCGUCUACAGGUCCUACCACUGGUACAAGGUAUCCUCUUGCUAAUUUUCUCACUUAUCAUCGCUUCUCACCCCAACAACAAUCUUUCCUUGCUUCUAUCAAUCAGCAGGUCGAACCUCACACUUAUGCUCAGGCUGCCCUUCAUCCCCAUUGGCAAGGUGCCAUGGACUCUGAAUUGCAUGCUUUGGAGGCCACUAAUACUUGGACACUCACUACUCUCCAUGCCAGCAAAACUCCCAUUGGUUGUCGUUGGGUGUAUAAGAUCAAACAUCGUUCUGAUGGUUCUAUUGAACGUUAUAAAGCUCACCUCGUCGCCAAGGGUUACACUCAACUUGAAGGUGUUGAUUAUCACGAUACCUUCUCCCCUACUGCUAAGAUGGUCACUGUUCGUUGUUUAUUAGCCCUCGCUGCUGCCCGCGACUGGUCUCUUCACCAACUUGAUGUCCACAACGCUUUUCUUCAUGGUGAUCUUCAUGAAGAACUCUACAUGACCCUUCCUCCUGGUCUUCGGCGACAGGGGGAGAAUCUCGUGUGUCGCCUUAAUAAAUCCCUCUAUGGCUUGAAGCAAGCUUCCCGGCAAUGGUUUGCAAAGUUUUCAGAAGCAAUUAAAUCCGCUGGUUAUAUUCAAUCAAAGGCAAAUUAUUCUCUAUUUACGAGGCAGCAAGGGCAAUCCUUUAUAGCCCUCCUUGAUCUAUGUUGACGAUAUCUUGAUCACCAGCAAUGAUCCUGAAGGAAUUAAUGCUCUUAAAAAAGUUUCUUCAUGGUCACUUCAAAAUCAAGGAUCUCGGUAACUUGAAGUACUUUCUGGGAAUAGAGGUUUCACAGUCAAAGAAAGGGAUCUUUAUUUCUCAGCGAAAAUAUGCUUUAGAAAUUUUGAAAGAUAGUGGCCUUUUGGGAGCUCGCCCAGUAGAGUUUCCUAUGGAGCAGAAUGUUAAACUUUCUAACACUGGUGAGUUGCUUAAAGAUCCGGCAAAGUAUAGAAGGUUGGUUGGUUGAUUGAUCUAUUUAACUAUUACAAGGCCGGACAUCACUUAUCCCGUGCAUGUGUUAAGUCGAUUCAUGCAUGAACCAUGACAACCGCACAUGGAAGCAGCCCUCCGAAUUCUGAAAUACUUGAAGAGUACGCCUGGACAAGGUUUUUUUUCUCUUCUCAAAACAACUUGAACUUAAGUGCAUAUUGUGAUUCAGAUUGGGCGGGAUGUCCUACGACACGAAGGUCAACUACAAGUUACUGCUUUUUUUUGGGCUCUUCGUUGAUCUCUUGGAGGUCAAAAAGACAAAAGACCAUUUCUUUAUCAUCAGCAGAGGCUGAAUAUAGAGCCAUGACUGGAACUUGUUGUGAACUGUCAUGGCUUCGAUAUCUUCUGAGGGAUUUAGGUUUGCUUCACCCAAAACCGGUCUUGCUACAUUGUGACAACAAAGCGGCGCUCCAUAUAGCUGCUAAUCCAGUUUUUCAUGAACGAACUAGACAUAUAGAGAUUGAUUGUCAUUUUAUUCGAGACAAGAUACAAGAUGGUUCAGUCGUCACAAGGUACAUUCCUUCUUCAAACCAGCUUGCAGAUGUGUUCACAAAGGCAUUAGGAAAUGAGGCUUUCUCAUCCAUCAUACGCAAGUUGGGAGUUCUCGAUGUACACUCUCCAACUUGAGGGGGAGUGUUGAAAAGUCAAUGAUAUCAAGAUGCCUGAUAUCUUGGUUUAGAAUAGGAAACAAAGUCUGUAAUUGAUUUGUACAAAAUCUUCCUUUUUUGUAUAGCUUGAUUGUAGGCUAGGUUAAUUCUCUUCCAAGAGAAUGAGUAUGUAUAAAUGGCCUUUGUAUCUUUGUUGAAUAUUAAUUGAAUUUCAGCCGAAUAUAUUUUUACACUUCUUCCCCCAAAACCCCCUCAAUCAAAUCUCUUUCCCUCCAAACCCCAAAACCCACUUUCGCCUCCAGGUCCCAGGCCCUCGACUCCUCGCUCCUGAUUUCCUCAGCCCCUCAAUCAAAUUUUCCAACAUAAUACCCAUUUGUCUCUUACUUGCACCGGUGCCUUCUUCCUUCCCCCUUUUCUCCUCUCCUCAUUUCCUUCUCCUUCUCUUCUCUCCUCAUUUACUUCCAGUCCAACACUUGCAACUAAGAGCCUCUGGGAAAGGACAAGGUGAAAUAAUUCAUUCACUUUUUAAAUUCUGGGUUUUAUUUUUAAGCCACGAUUCAUUUCCAAUUAUUGUGUUUUAGUUUUACCUUGUUUCUGAUCUUGUGGUGAUUUUUGAAGUUGGGUUUUUGUGCAAUUAUUGGCUUAACUGAUCACCAUUACUGCUCUUAAUCAUUGGCUUAAUUUGUUUGAUUCUUCACGUAAUCACUGUCCUGUUUUGUUCUGUCAACAGAAAUUGCAUAAUAUGUUCUGUGAUCUGCACUUCAGAUACCAUAACAUCACCGCUCCAAUUUCUUUCAGUCUCUCCAUUCUAAGAACAGAUGCAGUGUUCCUUUGCUCCUGAUGAACACACCAACGACACGUGAAGAUGCUAAGAAGUUAUGCUGAUUGCGAGAUGCUCUGUAAGGAGAGGGUCUUGAUUUUGUAUAUUUUGGCUUUAAGGGGUCUGUUCUCGUUCGUAGUAAUCUCGAUUUCGAUGACGGAAUUGGUUGGGCCAAGGUUGUACAGCUGCUGCAAUUGCCGAAACCAUGUUGCCCUUCACGACGAUGUCAUUUCGAAAGCCUUUCAGGUGAACAUAGGUUGAGUAUGGAAACAUAGGUUGAAUAUGGAAAAUGCAGUGAAUGGAGGGGAGGGGAAAGAAAUGAUUGAAAGUGGUUUAUAUUUUUUUAUUAUUAAUAUAUUUUCUGUCGGUUUUAUUCGACAAGAAUGCUUUUAUUUAUUCAUUAUUAAUAAAUUUUCUGUCGGUUAUAUCUGACACAAGUUCUGUCGAUUUUAGUAUUUUCUGUUGGUUUUAUCCGACAGAGAGUGCUCUUAUUUAUUCAUUAUUAAUAUAUUUUCUAUCAGUUAUAUCCGACACAAUUCUGUCGGUUUUAGAAUAUUUUCUGUUGGAAAAUUCAUUUCCUAAUGCUAACAAUUCUAUUACUUAUUAUAUCCGUCAUUGCAUCCAUUUUCUGUCGGAUUUUGAAUAGCGACACUAAUAAAUGGUUUUGUAGUGGUGAGGCAGAGAAGAAGUGGAUCCUCGAGAUCAAAUCCAAGUCUCAAAAGUUGGCGGGGCUUCUCCGCCAACUCCGCAGUUCCCGCCUCUCCGGCCCUGAUAUCUUCGACCGCCCCAUACGGUACAUCCUCGAGCUGGUCGAACUAAUCCUCAACGAUUUCAAUCCAGGCUGAUGAAGAACUCUUAUGCUCACAUCAUCAUCAAAAUCAUCAACCAUUUCAACAUCACGUGUUUCGUGCCCCACGGCAUCAACCCUUUAAGGCUCAGGGAUAUGUUGAUGCAGCUCGAAAAUGUAAUUGGCGACGUGUCGUGGCUGACCAUCCUGCUUAGUUCUGUGAAUAGUGAGGACAUGGACUGGUCUCAGCUUAACCAUGUAUCACGUGAGCCACUUCUGUUCCUGAUUUGGGAAAAAAAUUGCUCUCCUUGCUGACACGCGUAAUUCGUUCCAAGUUCGAUCAGAAGCAGCAGCUACACUUGGUGAGAUAUCUCGGCACGAUUGCGAACAUAGCAUCAUUGAAGAAGAGGGAGUUGAACCCUUGUUGAAAUUCGUGGGAGAGGGUCCAAUCGAAAGCCAAGAGAAUGCUGUCCGGACUCUGGGGUCACCCGGACAUGCCUGGGAAAGCGUCGAACGCGUGAUCCUUGCUGAUGCAUGCAAAGUGUGUGCAAUAAUCCUCCGAGAAGGUCCGAUGAAAGUUCAGGCUGCCGUGACUUGGGCGGUGUCAGAGAUCGCAGCUAGACACCCCAAAUGCCGUGAUGUUUUCGUCCGGCAUGAUGUAGUCUACUGGCUCUUGAGCCAUCUAGCAUUCGAAACUGUUGAAGUAGAUAGUAACCAUGCCACGAGCAAAACCAAUAGUAAUGUCAAUGGCAAUGAAGACCCUGCCACCAAGGCUGAAAUGAAAGCUAUGGCGACCAGAGCCCUUGCCAAACUAGCCAAGGGGAACUCAGCCAUUGUUCCUAGCAUCGCAGAAUCAAGUGUCCUCUUAAUUUUAGCCGUGAACCUAGAAAAGGGUACCAAAGAUGUUCAACUGCAAUAUGGAGAUCACUGCGGUUGCUGAGGAGGAUGCUGAACUGAGAACAUCUGCCUUGUAUCGUAAUUCUCCGGCUCGGAAAUCUAUCGUUGAUCAAUUAGUAAUAAAGAUCACCGAUGAGAAGGAAGAUCCGGAGCUCCUGAUCCCGUGCAUUAAAGCUGUUGGGAAUUUAGCAACAACAUUUGAAGCAACAAACAAUUUCGUUACGAAAAAUGCUUGCAUUGCCCUCACAAAAUUUGCAUGUACUAGCAACUAUUUUCACGUUGAGGUUUCCAAGGCAAUAAUAAUUGCUGGAGCAGCUACGCAAUUGAUCCGACUUUUUUAUUUUGGGCAUUGGAAUGUUCAGCUUCAUGCCUUGGUUCUCAUAUGUUACAUUGCGAUUCAUGUGCCUGGGAGUGAAGAGCUUGCCCAGGCUAAGGUGCUCGCCGUGCUUAAAUGGGCGCCCAAGCAUCAUUAUUUUACCGACCAUGAAAAAUUGAACAAAUUAUUCUACGCUGCACUGGAUGUACCAGAAAAUGAAGUUGCUGAGGCUGAAGCUCGCGUGCAUGCCACGUAUGGAUGGGAGUUGCAACGAUCUUAUAUGACCCCAGCUGAAACACUCUACACUCUUACACAAGGCUACAAGCUUUGGAUCUUUAUCAUUCUCAAAGUUCUAAAAGACGCUAGGCGCUAGUCAGGCGGCAUUGUCUUAAACCUAAAACAAAUGUCAUAUAAUCUCUUAUGACUAAUUAGGCCUUGGUUAGAUCAUCUAGGCUACAUUCUAGGAUCUCAAGUAGUCUAUUUUCAUAAAAUGUUGAGCUAAAUUUUCAUUAUCUUCUAAUAAGACUUGAGUCAGACGUAAGACCAGAAAUACUUCAAUGCGUGACAAAUCUUCCGGGAUGUUGUAGGAUGUGAGUGUUGGUUUGAUCAGCUAUACCAUGCUGAUCGACCAACUACUCGCAUCCCACAAUAUUGAACCUAAUAUUGGAGAAAACACCUACAUAAAGGCAGGUUGUUUCUUUUCUUUUGUCAUAGGAAAUUAGAUAGACAGAGAAAAGAGAGAUAAGAUGGGCAGAAUUAAGAAUUAGUAGUGACUGAGAAUGGUAAAAAUUGUAGCUUGGUGUUCUUUUCUUUUGAGCGUCGGUAAGGAGCUUUACUUUACAAGAAACUAGGGAAGCCUUACGCACCAUUUCUAGCCUGACCAAAUUUACAAUCACAACUUUUUAACUCAAAAACAAAAAUAUUACAAUCAGAAAGCAGAUCCAAAAAAUAAAAGUAUACAAUCUGAAGAGAGAAUAUCAAAUGGGAUAUUUGACACGGAAUCAUAAUCUAUACGCGAAUGGAAUUGGACUCGAUGAAAUUUCUGUACUGGGUGAUCAAUCUUGCAAAAGCUUACACAAGAGACCUGAAACUUUCUGACCAAAAGUGAGAUUUCCGCUUGGUGAGAGUGUCUCGCGGUGCAAACCUGAGACCAAACAUCUCCUUGAAUGCUUGCUCGGGCUCUACUGAACCUACCAACUUUGCAACAAUUGUGGCACUGUCCAUGAUAUGGUCCAGGUUUUGUGUGUUACUCCACAGGAGGUUUGCCAAUUGCAACCGCCUAUGCUUCGAGUGUAGACUGAUACCCCACUUUAGGUAGAGGUUAUUUCUUUCAUCCUCAGACAGUCGCCUUCGCAUUUGCUUGCUCAGCAUGUGUCUCUCACUAGUCAAAGCCUUCAUGCUAUUUACAGAAUAAAACAUGUUUUAAGCCGACCAAUGCAGGCAAUAUGUAACAAAGUUAAAACAUAUCGUGAGUGUCUGCAACCUUCUAUUCUAGAUCGGUGAUAACGAACUUACCUUGAAGCGGGUGUUAGAGUUUGGCCAUCUUCCAGAGUCUGAUUUCCACGCGAAAAUGUGUCUUUGAGGAAGGACAAUCUCCUGACCUCAACCUCCAUGUAAAUCGAAUCACUUGGGUCACCUUUAAAUAGGAGGAAGAAGUAAGUCCUGUGAACCAAUGACACAUUGCAGGCAUCCCAAAGUUCAAUGAUCUCUCUUUGCAGCUUGUUGAAUUCUGAAGGCCACCUUGAAGGGCUUUCGUCAUCAAUGGGCAUUGGGUCCAAGCCAACAUCUUUUACAUCCUUUGGAGACGGUAUGGGCAUUGAAUCCGUCUCCGGUACCUGCAACACGAGACAAUCCAUGUUAGAACUAUAAUUAAUCAGAUUGUCUACAACUUCUCUUUUUUUUGUGAUGCAAUAUAAUCAAAAUCACUCACCACAGAAUCAGCAAGUUGAGUAUUGCAUUGUGUAUCGGUCGUUUCCUCUGCUCCUUCAACUAAAGUACUGCUUUCAGUUACCUUGUCAUCAGUUGUGCAUUUUGUAUCCUGUGCUUUACGCUCAUCAAUAGCAGCACUUCUUGCAGAAGCCUGAGAAGCAUUUCUUGAUAGCCUUUCAGUCUCAGCACCAUAGUUCAGAGAAGGAAGUUUCUUUUGGAAACCCUCGGGCCUUCCUAUAAAUUUUUUCUCAAACUCAAUAGCAGGUGUGCUCUCUCAUUCUUCUCUACCAACUCAAGCCACCAUGGAGACGAAUUAUUCAUAAGCCUUGCUUUGCAGCUUCUACUCCUCCUCAACAUCACAACAGAGGGGCAAAACAUUUCUUUCUCGGGCAGCCAUUGAGGUGUCCUUUCAGAAGAAGGAACUACAAAACCUUUUUGUUUAGGUAGGGGUGACUCCAAUUCCUGAUUUGUGCCAUCUCCAUUUUCGACUGUGGUCAGUCCUGAGGUAGCUGUGUUUGCGAAAGGAGACGACAUAUUUGAGUUUUGGUAUCUACUAGCACUUGAAUCUGAUAUAUUUGACACUAUAUAUCUGUUUGUGCCAGACUCUUCCAUUUCAAUGCAGCGAACUUCCUUGCAGAAAUCCUCUGAAUUUCCAUCAAACUGUUCUUUGCUUUCCUCUUGAUGCAGAUUACCGUCAACAAAAUUAGGAAUGCCAUCGGAUAACUGCCGGGAGGAAUCAGUGUGCAUGAAAUUCUCUUCCAAGUCAGGAAGUUGGAACAGAGUCUCCUCUGAACUAGUCCUACUGUCUCCAUCAGAAUACUGAGAGGUGCCAAAAG